rnacentral:lncRNA from 1 species
UCAUUGUUGGCAGCAUAAGUUCUUAAAAGAAGCUUACCGUUUACGGUCAGCUCCAACGUAGCAUUUGACGGCACAGGAGGGUCAUCUCGGUAUGCUGUCCAGGUGAUUAUAUCAGCUGGCUUCCCACCAACCAAAUUCCCACUAUAAAGCCACUGCCCUGUGGGUAGAACCCAAAGGCAAAUGUGCCAGAAGGGGAGCGCCAUGAAGUUGGUUGGACGUUGGUGGAGAUUGUGAACCUAACUUAUCAGGUUUCGAGUGGUUCUGCUGGGAACUUGACAGGUUGUAAAUACAAAUUACUAACAAAAAGAAAGCUUCAUAAGCAAAAGCCAUUGGAUAGAAGUAUGGAAGAUAGAUGAUCUUGUUGUCCUUGUUACUUCUCACAAGUCUCGAAUUAAUAUAAAGUAAAACAAGGAAAUGCUAAAGCUAGGGCUCCACCAUUGCUUCUUCUUAGGGCACCGACUAUUAAUCUAAGAUAUCACUGAAACUUGGCCCCAUCAGUGGUAGACUUGAUUUUUCUAUAAAUAGAGUUAUUUAAUUUUUAAUUUAAAAAGUAUUUUGAAAGCAAAAUAUUCAGUAAUAAAAUUUUGAAUAAAAGAUUUUAUACGUUGAUCUUAUUUGAUAAAUUUUGUAUUAUUUAUGCUUGUUGUAGUUUUCUUGUACUGUUUCCAUCCAUUUCACUCUUGAAUGAGUCAUGUUUACGGUAAUAAAUGUUUUUUCUCCACCAAUAUUUUUUGUAAAUGGGUUUCUAGAUAUAUUGUUCAGACUCUGGUAUUGGUGCCGAUGCAUGCCUGCCUCACACAAAAUCUCCAAGCACAAGAAGAUGGAGAUCCAACCACGUAGUCUCCAAAAAUUGGAUACAUCAUACAAGUAUAGAUGAUCCUAGAACCACAGGUUCAUGAGAUUUACCAAACAAUUAUCAUGGACUUAAAACCUAAGUUAGAAAUUGUACUUAUCAUACAACCAUCCUUCACAUCUCUUUCAUGCUAAUGGGACUAAGAAAUUGUCUGCAAAUGAAAGCAUUGAAAAAAAACUUGCAAUAUUUCCUACCUUUCAAUUACAGGAAAGGAUUAAAGGAUGACUUGGUCAUCUUCCAUUAGCUAACCAUUUUCUUUCUAGUCCCAUCUGUUUGUUUUUGUAUUAAAAGUGAUUGAGUGCAUUUGUUUGAAAAAAACACAAAUUAAUGGAUUUUUAGAGCUUUUGAUGGUUUUUAUACUGAUAUAAAAAAUUAUUUUAAUAAUUUUCAAGUAAAAAAUAUUUUUUAAAAACACGUUACCUUACAAUACUAGAUGCAUAGAAUAUGUGUUUGAGAGUGCAGCUGUGAUUGCUUUUCAAAGUGUUUUUCACUCAGAAAUACAUCAAAAUAAUGUUAUUUUAUUUUUUAAAAAUACUAAAACAUAUAUUAAUUUUAAACAAAAAAUCUAAAAUUUUUAGAAUCGCAAAUUGAACCAUGUUCCCAUCAGUGUUCCUGUCAGGACAUUUCCACGUUGCAUGCCAGUAAAAAUAGACAGCCCCAAACCUUCGUGGUUGCUUCUAACAAGAAUAUUUUUUCCUUGAAAGACAUAAUGUAAGGAGAGUUGUCCCUUUCUGAGAUGUAUGGUUCUCAAAAAAAAAAAAGUCUUCUUAAUAGAAUAUUAAAUUCUUCUUUAUUUUUGCAAAAAUAUUAAAUUAAAUUUUUCUUUAUUCUUUGCAAGAAUAUUAAAUUCUUCUUUAUUCUUUACUUUUAUUAAAAAAAAAACAUUCAUAAAACAAGUACAAACACACACAUACACUUUUACUAUAUUUUUUCUUUCUUUCUUUUUUUCUUACACACACAAAUUAUACAAAUUCAAAAAAAAAAAAAAAACAAAGCAAAAAUUACAUUAAACACUUUAAAAAUUACAAAACAGACCCCAAAAAAUCCUUAAAGUAUUGGAAACAUUCUGGACCUGCAUGAACAAUGGUGGCGCGUUAAAAGUCGAACGCGUUCAAAGUUUUUUGAAAAUUUAAAAUUCUUUUGAGACGGUGCGAAAAUGGUAACAACGAUGCAAAUAUAUUAAAAACAUAUUUGUUUGGAUUUUUGAUGUUUUUCUCUAUUUUUAAUUUUUCUUAAAAUUAUCAAAACAUGAAUCAAAAAUUGAGUAGCAACAAUUAUCAUUGACUUAAAACCUAACUUAGAAAUUGUACUUAUCAUACAACCAUCCUUCACAUCUCUUUCAUGCAAAUGGGACAAGAAAUUGUCUGCAAAUGAAAGCAUUGGAUAAAAAAAGACAGUUUGCAAUAUUUCCUACCUUUCAAUUACAGGAAAGGAUUAAAGGAUGACUUGGUCAUCUUCCAUUAGCUAACCAUUUUCUUUCUAGUCCCAUCAUUGUUUGUUUUUGUAUUAAAAGUGAUUGAGUGCAUUUGAUUUGAAAAAAAAAAAAAUUAAUGGAUUUUUAGAGCUUUUGAUGGUUUUUAUAUACUGAUAUAAAAAAUUAUUUUAAUAAUUUUCAAGUAAAAAAUAUUUUUUAAAAACACGUUACCUUACAAUACUAGAUGCAUAGAAUAUGUGUUUGAGAGUGCAGCUGUGAUUGCUUUUCAAAGUGUUUUUUCACUCAGAAAUACAUCAAAAUAAUGUUAUUUUAUUUUUUAAAAAUAAAAAUACUAAAAUAUAUUUUUUAAACAAAAAAAUUCUAAAAUUUUUAGAAUCGCAAAUUGAACCAUGUUCCCAUCAUGUUCCUGUCAGGACAUUUCCACUGCAUGCCAGUAAAAAUAGACAGCCCCAUAACCUUCGUGGUUGCUUCUAACAAGAAUAUUUUUCCUUGAAAGACAUAAUGUAAGGAGAGUUGUCCCUUUCUGAGAUGUAUGUCUCAAAAAAAAAAGUCUUCUUAAUAGAAUAUUAAAUUCUUCUUUAUUUUGCAAAAAUAUUAAAUUAAUUUUCUUUAUUCUUUGCAAGAAUUAAAUUCUUCUUUAUUCUUUACAAUUUUAUUAAAAAAAAAAAAUUCAUAAAACAAGUACAAACACACACAUACACUUUUACUAUAUUUUUUUUCUUUCUUUUUUUCUUACACACACAAAUUAUACAAAUUCAAAAAAAAAAAAAACAAAGCAAAAAUUACAUUAAACACUUUAAAAAUUACAAAACAGACCCAAAAAAUCCUUAAAGUAUUAGGAAACAUUCUGGACCUGCAUGAACAAUGGUGGCGCGUUAAAAGUCGAACGCGUUCCAAAGUUUUUUGAAAAUUUAAAAUUCUUUUGAGACGGUGCCUGAAAAUGGUAAAACGAUGCAAAUAUAUUAAAAACAUAUUUGUUUUUGGAUUUUUGAUGUUUUUCUCUAUUUUUUAAUUUUUCUUAAAAUUAUCAAAACAUAAAUAAAAUUGAAGUAGCAACAAUUAUCAUUGACUUAAAACCUAACUUAGAAAUUGUACUUAUCAUACAACCAUCCUUCACAUCUCUUUCAUGCAAAUGGGACCUAAGAAAUUGUCUGCAAAUGAAAGCAUUGGAAAAAAAGACAGUUUGCAAUAUUUCCUACCUUUCAAUUACAGGAAAGGAUUAAAGGAUGACUUGGUCAUCUUCCAUUAGCUAACCAUUUUCUUUCUAGUCCCAUCAUUGUUUGUUUUUGUAUUUAAAAGUGAUUGAGUGCAUUUGAUUUGAAAAAAAAAAACCAAAUUAAUGGAUUUUUAGAGCUUUUUGAUGGUUUUUAUAUACUGAUAUAAAAAAUUAUUUUAAUAUUUUCAAGUAAAAAAUAUUUUUUAAAAACACGUUACCUUACAAUACUAGAUGCAUAGAAUAUGUGAUUGAGAGUGCAGCUGUAAUUGCUUUUCAAAGUGUUUUUUCACUAGAAAUACAUCAAAAUAAUGUUAUUUUAUUUUUAAAAAUUAUUUUAAAAAUACUAAAAUAUAUAUUAAUUUUAAACAAAAAAAUUCUAAAAUUUUUAGAAUCGCAAAUUGAACCAUGUUCCCAUCAAUGUUCCUGUCAGGACAUUUCCACGUGCAUGCCAGUAAAAAUAGACAGCCCCAUAACCUUCGUGGUUGCUUCUAACAAGAAUCUUUUUUCCUUGAAAGACAUAAUGUAAGGAGAUUGUCCCUUUCUGAGAUGUAUGUCUCAAAAAAAAAAAAAGUCUUCUUAAUAGAAUAUUAAAUUCUUCUUUAUUAUUGCAAAAAUAUUAAAUUAAAUUUUUUUUAUUCUUUGCAAGAAUAUUAAAUUCUUCUUUAUUCUUUACAAUUUUAUUAAAAAAAAAACAUUCAUAAAACAAGUACAAACACACACAUACACUUUUACUAUAUUUUUUCUUUUUUCUUUUUUUCUUACACACACAAAUUAUACAAAUUCAAAAAAAAAAAAACAAAGCAAAAAUUACAUUAAACACUUUAAAAAUUACAAACAGACCCAAAAAAUCCUUAAAGUAUUGGGAAACAUUCUGGACCUGCAUGAACAUGGUGGCGCGUUAAAAGUCGAACGCGUUCCAAAGUUUUUUGAAAAUUUAAAAUUCUUUUGAGACGGUGCUGAAAAUGGUAAAACGAUGUAAAUAUAUUAAAAAAACAUAUUUGUUUUUGGAUUUUUGAUGUUUUUCUCUAUUUUUUUUUUCUUAAAAUUAUCAAAACAUAAAUAAAAUUGAUAGCAACAAUUAUCAUUGACUUAAAACCUAACUUAGAAAUUGUACUUAUCAUACAACCAUCCUUCACAUCUCUUUCAUGCAAAUGGGACUAAGAAAUUGUCUGCAAAUGAAAGCAUGGAUAAAAAAAGACAGUUUGCAAUAUUUCCUACCUUUCAAUUACAGGAAAGGAUUAAAGGAUGACUUGGUCAUCUUCCAUUAGCUAACCAUUUUCUUUCUAGUCCCAUCAUUGUUUGUUUUUGUAUUUAAAAGUGAUUGAGUGCAUUUGAUUUGGAAAAAAAAAACCAAAUUAAUGGAUUUUUAGAGCUUUUUGAUGGUUUUUAUAUACUGAUAUAAAAAAUUAUUUUAAUACAUUUUCAGUAAAAAAUAUUUUUUAAAAAACACGUUACCUUACAAUACUAGAUGCAUAGAAUAUGUGAUUGAGAGUGCAGCUGUGAUUGCUUUUCAAAGUGUUUUUCACUCAGAAAUACAUCAAAAUAAUGUUAUUUUAUUUUUUAAAAAUUAUUUUAAAAAUACUAAAUAUAUUAAUUUUAACAAAAAAAAUCUAAAAUUUUUAGAAUCGCAAAUUGAACCAUGUUCCCAUCAAUGUUCCUGUCAGGACAUUUCCACUUUGCAUGCCAGUAAAAAUAGACAGCCCCAUAACCUUCGUGGUUGCUUCUAACAAGAAUAUUUUUUCCUUGAAAGACAUAAUGUAAGGAGAGUUGUCCCUUUCUGAGAUGUAUGGUCUCAAAAAAAAAAAGUCUUCUUAAUAGAAUAUUAAAUUCUUCUUUAUUAUUCGCAAAAAUAUUAAAUUAAAUUUUCUUUAUUCUUUGCAAGAAUAUUAAAUUCUUCUUUAUUCUUUACAAUUUUAUUACAAAAAAAAAAGCAUUCAUAAAACAAGUACAAACACACACAUACACUUUUACUAUAUUUUUUUUCUUUCUUUUUUCUUACACACCACAAAUUAUACAAAUUCAAAAAAAAAAAAAACAAAGCAAAAAUUACAUUAAACACUUUAAAAAUUACCAAACAGACUCCAAAAAAUCCUUAAAAGUAUUAGGAAACAUUCUGGACCUGCAUGAACAAUGGUGGCGCGUUAAAAGUCGAACGCGUUCUAAAGUUUUUUGAAAAUUUAAAAUUCUUUUGAGACGGUGCCGAAAAUGGUAACAACGAUGUAAAUAUAUUAAAAGACAUAUUUGUUUUUGGAUUUUUGAUGUUUUCUCUAUUUUUAAUUUUUCUUAAAAUUCAUCAAAACAUAAAUACAAAAUUGAAUAGCAACAAUUAUCAUUGACUUAAAACCUAACUUAGAAAUUGUACUUAUCAUACAACCAUCCUUCACAUCUCUUUCAUGCAAAUGGGACCAAGAAAUUGUCUGCAAAUGAAAGCAAUGGAUAAAAAAAGAUAGUUUGCAAUAUUUCCUACCUUUCAAUUACAGGAAAGGAUUAAAGGAUGACUUGGUCAUCUUCCAUUAGCUAACCAUUUUCUUUCUAGUCCCAUCAUUGUUUGUUUUUGUAUUUAAAAGUGAUUGAGUGCAUUUGAUUUGGAAAAAAAAAAACCAAAUUAAUGGAUUUUUAGAGCUUUUUGAUGGUUUUUAUAUACUGAUAUAAAAAAUUAUUUUAAUACAUUUUCAGGUAAAAAAUAUUUUUUAAAAACACGUUACCUUACAAUACUAGAUGCAUGCAGAAUAUGUGAUUGAGAGUGCAGCUGUAAUUGCUUUUCAAAGUGUUUUUUUCACUAAGAAAUAUAUCAAAAUAAUGUUAUUUUAUUUUUUAAAAAUACUAAAACAUAUAUUAAUUUUAAACAAAAAAAAUCUAAAAUUUUUAGAAUCGCAAAUUGAACCAUGUUCCCAUCAAUGUUCCUGUCAGGACAUUUCCACGUUGCAUGCCAGUAAAAAUAGACAGCCCCAUAACCUUCGUGGUUGCUUCUAACAAGAAUAUUUUUUCCUUGAAAGACAUAAUGUAAGGAGAGUUGUCCCUUUCUGAGAUGUAUGUCUCAAAAAAAAAAAAAGUCUUCUUAAUAGAAUAUUAAAUUCUUCUUUAUUAUUCGCAAAAAUAUUAAAUUAAAUUUUUCUUUAUUCUUUGCAAGAAUAUUAAAUUCUUCUUUAUUCUUUACAAUUUUAUUAAAAAAAAAAAGCAUUCAUAAAACAAGUACAAACACACACAUACACUUUUACUAUAUUUUUUCUUUCUUUCUUUUUUUCUUACACACCACAAAUUAUACAAAUUCAAAAAAAAAAAAAAAAAAGCAAAAAUUACAUUAAACACUUUAAAAAUUAAAAACAGACUCCAAAAAAUCCUUAAAAGUAUUAGGAAACAUUCUGGACCUGCAUGAACAAUGGUGGCGCGUUAAAAGUCGAACGCGUUCCAAAGUUUUUUGAAAAUUUAAAAUUCUUUUGAGACGGUGCCGAAAAUGGUAACAACGAUGUAAAUAUAUUAAAAACAUAUUUGUUUUUGGAUUUUUGAUGUUUUUCUCUAUUUUUUAAUUUUUCUUAAAAUUCAUCAAAACAUAAAUACAAAAUUGAAUAGCAACAAUUAUCAUUGACUUAAAACCUAACUUAGAAAUUGUACUUAUCAUACAACCAUCCUUCACAUCUCUUUCAUGCAAAUGGGACCAAGAAAUUGUCUGCAAAUGAAAGCAAUGGAUAAAAAAAGAUAGUUUGCAAUAUUUCCUACCUUUCAAUUACAGGAAAGGAUUAAAGGAUGACUUGGUCAUCUUCCAUUAGCUAACCAUUUUCUUUCUAGUCCCAUCAUUGUUUGUUUUUGUAUUUAAAAGUGAUUGAGUGCAUUUGAUUUGGAAAAAAAAAACCAAAUUAAUGGAUUUUUAGAGCUUUUUGAUGGUUUUUAUAUACUGAUAUAAAAAAUUAUUUUAAUACAUUUUCAGGUAAAAAAUAUUUUUUAAAAACACGUUACCUUACAAUACUAGAUGCAUGCAGAAUAUGUGAUUGAGAGUGCAGCUGUAAUUGCUUUUCAAAGUGUUUUUUCACUAAGAAAUACAUCAAAAUAAUGUUAUUUUAUUUUUUAAAAAUUAUUUUAAAAAUACUAAAAUAUAUAUUAAUUUUAAACAAAAAAAAUCUAAAAUUUUUAGAAUCGCAAAUUGAACCAUGUUCCCAUCAAUGUUCCUGUCAGGACAUUUCCACUUUGCAUGCCAGUAAAAAUAGACAGCCCCAUAACCUUCGUGGUUGCUUCUAACAAGAAUAUUUUUUCCUUGAAAGACAUAAUGUAAGGAGAGUUGUCCCUUUCUGAGAUGUAUGGUCUCAAAAAAAAAAAAAGUCUUCUUAAUAGAAUAUUAAAUUCUUCUUUAUUAUUCGCAAAAAUAUUAAAUUAAAUUUUUCUUUAUUCUUUGCAAGAAUAUUAAAUUCUUCUUUAUUCUUUACAAUUUUAUUACAAAAAAAAAAAGCAUUCAUAAAACAAGUACAAACACACACAUACACUUUUACUAUAUUUUUUCUUUCUUUCUUUUUUUCUUACACACCACAAAUUAUACAAAUUCAAAAAAAAAAAAAAACAAAGCAAAAAUUACAUUAAACACUUUAAAAAUUACCAAACAGACUCCAAAAAAUCCUUAAAAGUAUUAGGAAACAUUCUGGACCUGCAUGAACAAUGGUGGCGCGUUAAAAGUCGAACGCGUUCUAAAGUUUUUUGAAAAUUUAAAAUUCUUUUGAGACGGUGCCGAAAAUGGUAACAACGAUGUAAAUAUAUUAAAAGACAUAUUUGUUUUUGGAUUUUUGAUGUUUUUCUCUAUUUUUUAAUUUUUCUUAAAAUUCAUCAAAACAUAAAUACAAAAUUGAAUAGCAACAAUUAUCAUUGACUUAAAACCUAACUUAGAAAUUGUACUUAUCAUACAACCAUCCUUCACAUCUCUUUCAUGCAAAUGGGACCAAGAAAUUGUCUGCAAAUGAAAGCAAUGGAUAAAAAAAGAUAGUUUGCAAUAUUUCCUACCUUUCAAUUACAGGAAAGGAUUAAAGGAUGACUUGGUCAUCUUCCAUUAGCUAACCAUUUUCUUUCUAGUCCCAUCAUUGUUUGUUUUUGUAUUUAAAAGUGAUUGAGUGCAUUUGAUUUGGAAAAAAAAAACCAAAUUAAUGGAUUUUUAGAGCUUUUUGAUGGUUUUUAUAUACUGAUAUAAAAAAUUAUUUUAAUACAUUUUCAGGUAAAAAAUAUUUUUUAAAAACACGUUACCUUACAAUACUAGAUGCAUGCAGAAUAUGUGAUUGAGAGUGCAGCUGUAAUUGCUUUUCAAAGUGUUUUUUCACUAAGAAAUACAUCAAAAUAAUGUUAUUUUAUUUUUUAAAAAUUAUUUUAAAAAUACUAAAAUAUAUAUUAAUUUUAAACAAAAAAAAUCUAAAAUUUUUAGAAUCGCAAAUUGAACCAUGUUCCCAUCAAUGUUCCUGUCAGGACAUUUCCACUUUGCAUGCCAGUAAAAAUAGACAGCCCCAUAACCUUCGUGGUUGCUUCUAACAAGAAUAUUUUUUCCUUGAAAGACAUAAUGUAAGGAGAGUUGUCCCUUUCUGAGAUGUAUGGUCUCAAAAAAAAAAAAAGUCUUCUUAAUAGAAUAUUAAAUUCUUCUUUAUUAUUCGCAAAAAUAUUAAAUUAAAUUUUUCUUUAUUCUUUGCAAGAAUAUUAAAUUCUUCUUUAUUCUUUACAAUUUUAUUACAAAAAAAAAAAGCAUUCAUAAAACAAGUACAAACACACACAUACACUUUUACUAUAUUUUUUCUUUCUUUCUUUUUUUCUUACACACCACAAAUUAUACAAAUUCAAAAAAAAAAAAAAAACAAAGCAAAAAUUACAUUAAACACUUUAAAAAUUACCAAACAGACUCCAAAAAAUCCUUAAAAGUAUUAGGAAACAUUCUGGACCUGCAUGAACAAUGGUGGCGCGUUAAAAGUCGAACGCGUUCUAAAGUUUUUUGAAAAUUUAAAAUUCUUUUGAGACGGUGCCGAAAAUGGUAACAACGAUGUAAAUAUAUUAAAAGACAUAUUUGUUUUUGGAUUUUUGAUGUUUUUCUCUAUUUUUUAAUUUUUCUUAAAAUUCAUCAAAACAUAAAUACAAAAUUGAAUAGCAACAAUUAUCAUUGACUUAAAACCUAACUUAGAAAUUGUACUUAUCAUACAACCAUCCUUCACAUCUCUUUCAUGCAAAUGGGACCAAGAAAUUGUCUGCAAAUGAAAGCAAUGGAUAAAAAAAGAUAGUUUGCAAUAUUUCCUACCUUUCAAUUACAGGAAAGGAUUAAAGGAUGACUUGGUCAUCUUCCAUUAGCUAACCAUUUUCUUUCUAGUCCCAUCAUUGUUUGUUUUUGUAUUUAAAAGUGAUUGAGUGCAUUUGAUUUGGAAAAAAAAAAACCAAAUUAAUGGAUUUUUAGAGCUUUUUGAUGGUUUUUAUAUACUGAUAUAAAAAAUUAUUUUAAUACAUUUUCAGGUAAAAAAUAUUUUUUAAAAACACGUUACCUUACAAUACUAGAUGCAUGCAGAAUAUGUGAUUGAGAGUGCAGCUGUAAUUGCUUUUCAAAGUGUUUUUUCACUAAGAAAUACAUCAAAAUAAUGUUAUUUUAUUUUUUAAAAAUUAUUUUAAAAAUACUAAAAUAUAUAUUAAUUUUAAACAAAAAAAUUCUAAAAUUUAUAGAAUCGCAAAUUGAACCAUGUUCCCAUCAAUGUUCCUAUCAGGACAUUUCCACGCUGCAUACCAGUAAAAAUAGACAGCCCCAUAACCUUCGUGGUUGCUUCUAACAAGAAUCUGUUUUCCUUGAAAGACAUAAUGUAAGGAGAGUUGUUCCUUUCUAAGAUGUAUGGUCUUAAAAAAAAAAAAAAGUCUUCUUAAUAGAAUAUUAAAUUCUUCUUUAUUAUUCGCAAAAAUAUUAAAUUAAAUUUUUCUUUAUUCUUUACAAUUUUAUUAUAAAUUAAAAAAACAUUCAUAAAACAAGUACAAACACACACAUACACUUUUACUAUAUUUUUUCUUUUUUUCUUACACACUACAAAUUAAACAAAUUAAAAAAAAAAGUAAAAAUUACAUUAAACACUUUAAAAAUUACCAAACAGACUCAAAAAAAUCCUUAAUAGUGUUGGGAAACAUUCUGGACCUGCAUGAAUAAUUGUGGUGCGUUAAAAGUCGAACGCGUUCCAUAGAUUUUUGAAAAUUUAAAAUUCUUUUGAGACGAUGUUGAAAUUGUUAACAACGAUGCAAAUAUAUUAAAAAACAUUUUUUUUUUUGGAUUUUUGAUGUGUUUUGCUAUUUUUGGAUUUUUCUUAAAAUUCAUCAAAAUAUGAAUUAAAAAUUGAGUAGCAACAAUUAUCAUUGACUUAAAACCUAACUUAGAAAUUGUACUCUUCAUACAACCAUCCUUCACAUCUCUUUCAUGCAAAUGGCAAUAAGAAAUUAUCUACAAAUGAAAGCAUUGGAUAAAAAAAGACAGUUUGCAAUAUUUCCUACCUUUCAAUUACAGGGAAGGAUUAAAGGAUGACUUGGUCAUCUUCCAUUAGCUAACCAUUUUCUUUCUAGUGCCAUCAUUGUUUGUUUUUGUAUUUAAAAGCGAUUGAGAGCAUUUCAUUUUUAAAAAAAAAAAACCAAAUUAAUGGAAUUUUAGAGUUAUUUUAAUUAUUUUUAUGUACUGAUAUAAAAUAUUAUUUUAAUAUAUUUUCAAGUAAAAAAUAUUUUUUAAAAACACGUUACCUUACAAUACUAGAUGCAUACUGAAUAUGUGUUUUGAGAGUGCAGCUGUGAUUGCUUUUCAAAAUGUUUUUCACUCAGUAAUAUAUCAAAAUAAUAUUAUUUUAUUUUUUAAAAAUUAUUUUAAAACUACUAAAAAAUUUAUUAAUUUUAAACAAAAAAAUUCUAAAAUUUUUAGAAUCACAAAUUGAACAAUGUUCCCAUCAGUGUUCCUGUCAAGACAUUUCCACGCUGCAUGCCAAUAAAAAUAGACAACCCAGAACCUUGGUGGCUUAUAAUAAAAAUCUUUUUUCUUUGCAAGACAUAAUGUAAGGAGAGUUGUCCUUUUCUGAGAUAUGAGAUGUAUGGUCUCAAAAAAAAAUCUUUUAUAUAAUUGCUUUUCCAGUAUUGUUUGAUUAACAAUAGUGUUUGAUGGCCGUGCCUUGCAUGUAGGCCCGUGCCACUAACUUAAACCACGCAGUUUUCUUUCUCUUCUGCCUUGUGAGAGAUGUAAUUUGAGAACAUAACAUAUCAGCAGGAUAGUUCCUGCUACGAGGAAGCCACUGAGAGCUCUUACAAGGUUUUACUUACAAAUUGCUUAACUAGUAACAUGAGCAUGGGAAGACAAGGGAUGCAUGAAACUUUGUUUCCCUUCUUCUGGUUAUGUUGAAGAUAGCCAAAUAACUACAUGGCCAAAGGAAUUUUAACAGACAUCUCAAGUUUAAUAGAUUUUUUAAUUUUAACAAAAGCUUUUUGACUAAUCAAACUAUGUUUUCUCCAUGGUUGAGCAAAAAUCAAAAGCUACACAAUACCAAACCACCUCUUACUAUUUUUAUCACCUGUGCUCUUGUUUGUUCUUCUGCGUAAAUGUGAAAUAGUAUAUCAUAAGCAGUUUAAACGACAAAUCAGAAACGCUUUGCAUAUACAGAAAAAUGCUGCUCCAACCAUGUGUUUGAACAGCAAUUUUAUGAUAUCUUUCUGUUUAGACAACAAGAUGAGCCUCUUUCAGGCAACAAAAAUAAACACCAGACACAGUUUCACUGUGCAUGGAAACCUCCAACCAAGAAAAACUCCUAUUUCAACCCAGUAAAAUUCUCUAUAUCAAGACACGGACAAUUUCCCAAGCCAUCCCUCUUGCCUCUUUUUGUUAAAGUUACAGGGUCACUCUUCCAAAUGACAUUAAUUUUUCAGGACACUAUUAAUAUAAUUCCAUGCAAAUCCAAACUAAAACACUAAGAACCCUGGACAAUGAGCAAUGUAGCAGGAGAUAUUUGGCGGACACACUUCAUCAAGUUUUCAGUUUCAUCUUCUUAAUUUCAAUACCAAUGUAAAAUAACUCAUUCCAGCAUCGCUGACACAAAAUCUAUCAUUAACUGGCACAUAUUCUAAACCACUGACAGCCAACCCACCAUUAAGAUCUAGUCAGCUCAUCUCUGUAACUACAUCCCAAAAACAAAGUCCAAUACAGUUGUUAAUAACAGCUAUAAAGAAUUCUUCCAAAUGCCGUCAUAACAUAUUUUUGAAAAGCUUUUCAGGAAAAAAAUGUAGUAUAUAUACAAUGACUUUAUACACAAGACUCAAGAGUAUACACAAUGAACUGCUGCUUCACAAGCUUUAGCACUCCAAAGGCACUGAACUUAUUAGUUACAAUACAAAAAAAUACGUCUAGACAAAUGCCAUUUUUAAUUAGAGAAUUACCAGGGAAAUGUAACACCAAGCAAGCAUGGUGAAACGAAAAAAAUAAACUCAGACAGACCACUUCAAUUAGUUGAACUGCAUUCCACAGCCAUUUAAAUCUUCAACCUAUAAAUAUUCCAGGACCAUUUCUAUGAUCUUGUAGCAGAUGACACAGAGAGAUCGCUCUUCCCUUGUAAAAUGAUGAAUACAAAUUAGGUUUGAGUGGUUCUGCUGGGAACUUGCAGGUCUGUAAAUACAAAUUACUAACAAAAAGAAAGCUGCAUAAGCAAAAGCCAUUGGAUAGAAGUAUGGAAGAUAGAUGAUCUUGUUGUCCUUGUUACUUCUCACAAGUCUCGAAUGACUAUAAAGUAAAACAAGGAAAUGCUAAAGCUAGGGCUCCACCAUUGCUUCUUCUUAGGGGCACCGGCUAUUAAUCUAAGAUGAUCACUGAAACUUGGCCCCAUCAGUGGUAGACUUGUUUUUUCUAUAAAUAGAGUUAUUUAAUUUGUAAUUUAAAAAGUAUUUUGAAAGCAAAAUAUUCAGUAAUAAAAUUUUGAAUAAAAAAUUUUAUACGUUAAUCUUAUUUGAUAAAAUUUGUAUUAUUUAUGCUUGUUGUAGUUUUCUUGUACUGUUUCCAUCCAUUUCACUCUUGAAUCAGUCAUGUUUAUGGUAAUAAAUGUUUUUUCUCCACCAAUAUUUUUUGUAAAUGGGUUUCUAGAUAUAUUGUUCAGACUCUGGUAUAGGUGCCGAUGCAUGCCUGCCUCACACAAAAUCUCCAAGCACAAGAUGAUGGAGAUCCAACCACGAAGUCUCCAAAAAUUGGAUACAAGUAUAGAUGAUCCUAGAACCACAGGUUCAUGAGAUUUACCAAACAAAUAUCAUGGACUUAAAACCUGAUUUAGAAAUUGUACUUAUCAUACAUCCAUCCUUCAAUUACAAGAAAGAAUUAAAGGAUGGCUUGCUCAUCUUACAUUAGCUAACCAUUUUCUGUCUAGUUCCAUCAUUGUUUGUUUUUGCAUUGAAAAGCGAUUGAGUGCAAUUGGUUUGAAAAAAACAAAAUCAAAUUAAUGGAUUUUUAGAGCUUUUAAGGAUUUUUAUGUACUGAUAUAAAAAAUUAUUUUAAUAUAUUUUCAAGCAAAAAAUAUUUUUUAAAAACACGUUACCUUACAAUACUAGAUGCAUAUUGAAUAUGUGUUUGAGACUGACUCUAAGAAAACCUAACUUAGAAAUUGUACUUAUUAUACAACCAUCCUUCUCAUCUCUUUCAUGCAAAUGGGACCAAGAAAUUGUCUGCAAAUGAAAGCAAUGGAUAAAAAAAGAUAGUUUGCAAUAUUUCCUACCUUUCAAUUACAGGAAAGGAUUAAAGGAUGACUUGGUCAUCUUCCAUUAGCUAACCAUUUUCUUUCUAGUCCCAUCAUUGUUUGUUUUUGUAUUUAAAAGUGAUUGAGUGCAUUUGAUUUGAAAAAAAAACCAAAUUAAUGGAUUUUUUGAGCUUUUUGAUGGUUUUUAUAUACAAAUAUAAAAAAUUAUUUUAAUAAAUUUUCAAGUAAAAAAUAUUUUUUAAAAACACGUUACCUUACAAUACUAGAUGCAUAUAGAAUAUGUGUUUGAGAGUGCAGCUGUGAUUGCUUUUCAAAAUGUUUUUCACUCAGAAAUACAUCAAAAUAAUAUUAUUUUAUUGUUUAAAAUUAUUUUAAAAAUACUAAAAAAUAUAUUAAUUUUAAACAAAAAAAAAUUCUAAAAUUUUUAGAAUCGUAAAUUGAACCAUGUUCCCAUCAGUGUUCCUGUCAGGACAUUUCCACGCUGCAUAGUAGUAAAAUAGACAGCCCCACCUUCCUAGUUGCUUAUAACAAGAAUCUUUUUUUCUUAAAAGACAUAAUGUAAGGAGAGUUGUCCCUUCUGAGAUGUAUGGUCUAAAAAAAAAAGUCUUUUAUAUAUUUGAUUUUCCAUUAUUGUUUGAUUAACGAUAGUGUUUCAUGGCUCUGUGCCUUGCAUGUAGGCCCGUGCCACUAACUUAAGCCACGCAGUUUUCUUUCUCUUCUGCCUCAUGAGAGAUGUAAUUAGAGAACAUACAUAUCAGCAGGAUAGUUCCUGCUAAGAGGAAGCCACUGAGAGCUCUUACAAGGUUUUACUUACAAAUUGCUUAACCAGGAAUACGAGCAUGAGAAGACAAGGGAUGCAUGAAACUUUGUUUCCCUUUGUCUGGUUAAGUUGAUGAUAGCCAAAUAACUACAUGGCCCAUGGAAUUUUAAUAUCUCAAGUUUAAUAGAUUUUUUAAAUUUUAUAGUGAUAUUUUUAAAAAAAAAUUAAUGUGGAUGUACGGAUUAGUUUGCGCGUAUCUCAACUAAUCUUAUAUGUAGUGAUUUCUUAAAUUUUCUUAACUUACUCACAAUUUUUUAUGAGGUUAUACUGCACUACCGAUAAACUUAGUGCAUUUACUUAACAUCUUCCAUUAGAAAUAGAAUCAGCAAUUCAUUUCCUCGUUUGCUCAAUGCAAAGACAAUGUCAACCUCCUUACAAUUUAUCAUGAGAAUUUGGGAGAUGAUAUGCAAAGCACUCUUUGCUGUGAUGGUGACCUGACUUGCAAGUUGAAUCUUUAGCAGGGCCUGCAUGCAAUCGUUCCAAUCUUUACAUCCUUUGUGCCAAACAAGUUGGAAAAGCACAAGACGAGCGUCUUGCAUUAUAGCUUUCGGUUCAUGUUCUGAAAUAAAAGGAUCGAUGGUCCCAAAAACAAAAAGAAAACGAAAUGACGUGCAAUCGUUCCAAUCUUUACAUCCUUUGUGCCAAACAAGUUGGAAAAGCAUAAGACGAGCGUCUUGCAUUAUAGCUUUUGGUUCACCUUCUGAAAUAAAAGGAUGGUCCCAAAAGACAAAAAGAAAAAAGAAAAAAAAUGAAAGGACAUCCAGCCUAGAGAGAUAAUUUUGAAUUUUCUUUGUUUCCUUACGGGUUGAUGAAAGAUAAAAAUGUUUUUAUGAUUUUCCCAACCAAAAUUAUUAAAUAUUACAUAAUUUCAAUCUACACUUUUACUUUUGGAUAUAGGCCAUUGACCUUGCUUGCGUUAAUUUUCCGAAUUCAAAGUCGAAAACAUAAAAAAAAAAAAACCCAUAAGAUAUUAAAAAUAAGAAUAGAGGGAGUAAAAUUAAUUAUUUAUGUGUGACAACAUAUAAUUAGAAAAUUUCGUCAACAGAAUAAAAGGAUAUGUGACUUUUAUAAAUUUAAUCAUUUAUCUGUGACAACAAGUAAUAUAUAUAUAUAUAUAUAUAUAUAAUGGCUGAUGGAAAACAAACCCUUAAUUGUAUUAGGGUCUUGAACUCAUAGAAAUCCAAUGAAAUAUAUAGGCUGUGUAAAUACAGUCCAUUUGUUCCAUAGGCUGACUGCGCCCCAGCUUCCAAGCCUAAGCUUUCCUAGAUAGGGUGCAGCCUAUGUUCCAUCCAAAGCCCAAGCUAGCUAGGGGGUGGUUUCAGCCCAUAAUCUUUUUUUUAAUAUUAAAAAUAUUUUUUUAAUAAAUAAUAAAUAUUUUUUAAUAUAUUUUAAAAUAAAAUACAUUUUAAAAAAUAAUUUCUAUUACAUUUCCAAACUAUACUUCAUUUUUUUUAUAUAUAUCUAUAAAAAAAAUAAGGAGCAGUUUUAUAUUUUUCUCAAAGAAUAAAAUUGAGAAUUUAGUAUUUAUAUGUCCAAUUGUUUUUUUCGUAUCAAAUGUAUUUUUUUGUGAGUUGGAUGAUGUUUUUUAAAAGUUUUAAAAUCUUUUUUAGCUCUAAAUUAUUUUAAAACUAUGAAUUUAGUAUUUAUAUGUACAAUUUUUUUUUGGUCCUCAAACCUUCUUUAAUAGUGUUUAUUCGUGUAAUUAUACAAUGUUUUUCAAAAAUUUUGAAGGUUUUUUUAGUUUAAAAUUUUUUUGUAUUUUUGAAUCGUUUUGAUAAGUUGAUAUUAAAUUCUUCUUUAUUGUUUGCAAAAAUAUUAAAUUAAUUUUUUUUUAUUCUUUGCAAGAAUAUUAAAUUCUUCUUUAUUCUUUACAAUUUUAUUAUAAAAAAAAAAAAAUUCAUAAAAAAAGUACAAACACACACAUACACUUUUACUAUAUUUUUUUUCUUUUUUUCUUACACACUAAAAAUUAUACAAAUUAAAAAAAAAUAAAAAAACAAAGCAAAAAUUACAUUAAACACUUUAAAAAUUACAAAACAGACCCCAAAAAAUCCUUAAUAGUGUUGGGAAACAUUCUGGACCUACAUGAACAGUGGUGCGCGUUAAAAGUCGAACGUGUUCCAAAGUUUUUUAAAAAUUUAAAAUUCUUUUGAGACGAUGCUGAAAAUGGUAAAAACGAUGCAAAUAUAUUAAAAAACAUAUUUGUUUUUGGAUUUUUGAUGUUUUUCGCUAUUUUUGAAUUUUUCUUAAAAUUUAUCAAAACAUGAAUAAAAAAUUGAGUAGGAACAAUUAUCAUUGACUUAAAACCUAACUUGGAAAUUGUACUUAUCAUACAACCAUCCUUCUCAUCUCUUUCAUGCAAAUGGCUCUAAGAAAUUGUCUGCAAAUGAAAGCAUUGGAUAAAAAAAGACAGUUUGCAAUAUUUCCUACCUUUCAAUUACAGGAAAGGAUAAAGGAUGACUUGGUCAUCUUCCAUUAGCUAACCAUUUUCUUUCUAGUCCCAUCAUUGUUUGUUUUUGUAUUUAAAAACGAUUGAGUGCAUUUAAUUUGACAAACUAAAAGAAAAUAAAAUUAAUAGAUUUUUAGAGCUUUUUAAAGGUUUUUAUAUACUGAUAUAAAAAAUUAUUUUAAUAAAUUUUCAAAUAAAAAAUAUUUUUUAAAAACACGUUACCUUACAAUACUAGAUGCAUACUAAAUUUGUGUUUGAUAGUGCAGUUUUGAGUGCUUUUCAAAGUGUUUUUCACUCAGAAAUACAUCAAAAUAAUAUUAUUUUUUUUAAAAAAAAUUAUUUUAAAAAUACUAAAACAUAUAUUAAUUUUAAACAAAAAAUUUCUAAAAUUUUUAGAAUCGCAAAUUGAACCAUGUUCCCAUCAGUGUUCCUAUCAGGACAUUUCCACGCUGGAUGCCAGUAAAAAUAGACAGCCCCAUAACCUUCGUGGUUGCUUCUAACAAGAAUCUUGUAAGGACAGUUGUCCCUUUCUGAGAUGUAUGGUCUCAAAAAAAAAUCUUCUUGAUAGACUAUUAAAUUCUUCUUUAUUGUUUGCAAAAAUAUUAAAUUAAUUUUUUUUUAUUCUUUGCAAGAAUAUUAAAUUCUUCUUUAUUCUUUAUAAUUUUGAGACGAUGCUGAAAAUGGUAAAAAUGAUGCAAAUAUAUAAAAAAAACAUAUUUGUUUUUGGAUUUUUGAUGUUUUUUGCUCUUUUUGAAUUUUUCUUAAAAUUUAUCAAAACAUGAAUAAAAAAUUGAGUAGUAACAAUUAUCAUUGACUAAUAACCUAACUUAGAAAUUGUACUUAUCAUACAACCAUCCUUCUCAUCUCUUUUAUGCAAAUGGCUCUAAGAAAUUGUCUGCAAAUGAAAGCAUUGGAUAAAAAAAGACAGUUUGCAAUAUUUCCUAACUUUCAAUUACAGGAAAGGAUAAAGGAUGACUUGGUCAUCUUCCAUUAGCUAACCAUUUUCUUUCUAGUCCCAUCAUUGUUUGUUUUUGAAUUUAAAAGUGAUUGAGUGUAUUUGAUUUGAAAAAAAAAACCAAAUUAAUGGAUUUUUAGAGCUUUUUGAUGGUUUUUAUAUACAGAUAUACAAAUUUAUUUUAAUAAAUUUUCAAGUAAAAAAUAUUUUUUUAAAACAUGUUACCUUACAAUACUAGAUGCAUAUAGAAUAUGUGUUUGAGAGUGCAGCUGUGAUUGCUUUUCAAAGUGUUUUUCACUCAGAAAUACAUCAAAAUAAUGUUAUUUUUAUUUUUAAAAAAUUAUUUUAAAAAUACUAAAACAUAUAUUAAUUUUAAACAAAAAAAUUCUAAAAUUUUUAGAAUCGCAAAUUGAACCAUGUUUCCAUAAGUGUUCCUGUCAGGACAUUUCCACGCUGCAUGCCAGUAAAAAUAGACAGCCCCAUAACCUUCGUGGUUGCUUCUAACAAGAAUCUUUUUUCCUUGAAAGACAUAAUGUAAGGAGAGGUGUCCCUUUCUGAGAUGUAUGUUCUCAAAAGAAAAGUCUUCUUAAUAGAAUAUUAAAUUCUUCUUUAUUCUUUGCAAAAAUAUUAAAUUAAUUUUUUUUUAUUCUUUGCAAGAUUAUUAAAUUCUUCUUUAUUCUUUACAAUUUUAUUAUAAAUAAAUAAAAAUUCAUAAAACAAGUACAAACACACACAUACACUUUUACUAUAUUUUUUUCUUUUUUUCUUACACACUACAAAUUAUACAAAUUCAAAAAAAAAAAGCAAAGCAAAAAUUACAUUAAACACUUUAAAAAUUACAAAACAGACCCCAAAAAAUCCUUAAUAGUGUUGGGAAACAUUCUGGACCUGCAUGAACAGUGGUGCGCGUUAAAAGUCGAACGCGUUCCAAAUUUUUGAAAAUUUAAAAUUCUUUUGAGACAAUGCUGAAAAUGUAAAAACGAUGCAAAUAUAUUAAAAAACAUAUUUGUUUUUGGAUUUUUGAUGUUUUUUCUAUUUUUAAUUUUUCAAAAUCAUCAAAACAUGAAUAAAAAUUGAGUAACAAUUAUCAUUGACUUAAAACCUAACUUAAAAUUGUACUUAUCAUACAACCAUCCUUCACAUCUCUUUCAUGCAAAUGGGCUAAAAAUUGUCUGCAAAUGAAAGCAUUGGAUAAAAAAAGACAGUUUGCAAUAUUUCCUACCUUUCAAUUACAGGAAAGGAUUAAAGGAUGACUUGGUCAUCUUCCAUUAGCUAACCAUUUUCUUUCUAGUCCCAUCAUUGUUUGUUUUUGUAUUAAAAGUGAUUGAGUGCAUUUGAUUUGGAAAAAAAAAAACAAAUUAAUGGAUUUUUAGAGCUUUUUGAGGUUUUAUAUAUUGAUAUAAAAAAUUAUUUUAAUAAUUUUCAAGUAAAAAAUAUUUUUUAAAAACACGUUACCUUACAAUACUAGAUGCAUAGAAUAUGUUUUGAGAGUGCAGCUUGAUUGCUUUUCAAAGUGUUUUUCACUCAGAAAUACAUCAAAAUAAUGUUAUUUUAUUUUUUAAAAAUACUAAAACAUAUAUUAAUUUUAAACAAAAAAAUUCUAAAAUUUUUAGAAUCGCAAAUUGAACCAUGUUCCCAUCAGUGUUCCUGUCAGGACAUUUCCACGCUGCAUGCCAGUAAAAAUAGACAGCCCCAUAACCUUCGUGGUUGCUUCUAACAAGAAUCUUUUUUCCUUGAAAGACAUAAUGUAAGGAGAGGUGUCCCUUUCUGAGAUGUAUGUUCUCAAAAGAAAAGUCUUCUUAAUAGAAUAUUAAAUUCUUCUUUAUUCUUUGCAAAAAUAUUAAAUUAUUUUUUUUAUUCUUUGCAAGAAUAUUAAAUUCUUCUUUAUUCUUUACAAUUUUAUUAUAAAUAAAUAAAAAAUUCAUAAAACAAGUACAAACACACACAUACACUUUUACUAUAUUUGUUUUCUUUUUUUCUUACACAAUACAAAUUAUACAAAUUCAAAAAAAAAAAAAAGCGAAGCAAAAAUUACAUUAAACACUUUAAAAAUUACAAAACAGACCCAAAAAAUCCUUAAUAGUUGGGAAACAUUCUGGACCUGCAUGAACAUGGUGGCGUUAAAAGUCGAACGCGUUCCAAAGUUUUUUGAAAAUUUAAAAUUCUUUUGAGACAUGCUGAAAAUGGUAAAAACGAUGCAAAUAUAUUAAAAAAACAUAUUUUUUUUGGAUUUUUGAUGUUUUUCGCUAUUUUUUGAAUUUUUCUUAAAAUUUAUCAAAACAUGAAUAAAAAUUGAGUGUAACAAUUAUCAUUGACUAAAAACCUAACUUACAAAUUGUACUUAUCAUACAACCAUCCUUCUCAUCUCUUUCAUGCAAAUGGCUCUAAGAAAUUGUCUGCAAAUGAAAGCAUUGGAUAAAAAAAGACAGUUUGCAAUAUUUCCUACCUUUCAAUUACAGGAAAGGAUAAAGGAUGACUUGGUCAUCUUCCAUUAGCUAACCAUUUUCUUUCUAGUCCCAUCAUUGUUUGUUUUUGUAUUUAAAAGUGAUUGAGUGCAUUUGAUUGGAAAAAAAAAAACAAAUUAAUGGAUUUUUAGAGCUUUUUGAUGGUUUAUAAAUAUUGAUAUAAAAAAUUAUUUUAAUAAAUUUUCAAGUAAAAAAUACUUUUUAAAAACACGUUACCUUACAAUACUAGAUGCAUAUAGAAUAUGUUUUUGAGAGUGCAGCUGUGAUUGCUUUUCAAAGUGUUUUUCACUCAGAAAUACAUCAACAUAAUGUUAUUUUAUUUUUUAAAAAUACUAAAACAUAUAUUAAUUUUAAACAAAAAAAUUCUAAAAUUUUUAGAAUCGCAAAUUGAACCAUGUUCCCAUCAGUGUUCCUGUCAGGACAUUUCCACGCUGCAUGCCAGUAAAAAUAGACAGCACCAUAACCUUCGUGGUUGCUUCUAACAAGAAUCUUUUUUCCUUGAAAGACAUAAUGUAAGGAGAGGUGUCCCUUUCUGAGAUGUAUGUUCUCAAAAGAAAAGUCUUCUUAAUAGAAUAUUAAAUUCUUCUUUAUUCUUUGCAAAAAUAUUAAAUUAUUUUUUUUAUUCUUUGCAAGAAUAUUAAAUUCUUCUUUAUUCUUUACAAUUUUAUUAUAAAUAAAUAAAAAAUUCAUAAAACAAGUACAAACACACACAUACACUUUUACUAUUUUUUUUUCUUUUUUUCUUACACACUACAAAUUAUACAAAUUCAAAAAAAAAAAAAAAGCAAAGCAAAAAUUACAUUAAAUACUUUAAAAAUUACAAAACAGACCCCAAAAAAUCCUUAAUAAUGUUGGGAAACAUUCUGGACCUGCAUGAAUAGUGGUGGCGCGUUAAAAGUCAAACGCGUUCCAAAGUUUUUUGAAAAUUUAAAAUUCUUUUGAGACGAUGCUGAAAAUGGUAAAAACAAUGCAAAUAUAUUAAAAAAAAAACAUAUUUGUGUUUGGAGUUUUGAUGUUUUUCGCUAUUUUUGAAUUUUUCUUAAAAUUUAUCAAAACAUGAAUAAAAAAUUGAGUAGUAACAAUUAUCAUUGACUAAAAACCUAACUUACAAAUUGUACUUAUCAUACAACCAUCCUUCUCAUCUCUUUCAUGCAAAUGGCUCUAAGAAAUUGUCUGCAAAUGAAAGCAUUGGAUAAAAAAAGACAGUUUGCAAUAUUUCGUACCUUUCAAUUACAGGAAAGGAUAAAGGAUGACUUGGUCAUCUUCCAUUAGCUAACCAUUUUCUUUCUAGUCCCAUCAUUGUUGGUUUUUGUAUUUAAAAGUGAUUGAGUGCAUUUGAUUGGAAAAAAAAAAAAAACAAAAUUAAUGGAUUUUUAGAGCUUUUUGAUGGUUUAUAAAUAUUGAUAUAAAAAAUUAUUUUAAUAAAUUUUCAAGUAAAAAAUACUUUUUAAAAACACGUUACCUUACAAUACUAGAUGCAUAUAGAAUAUGUUUUUGAGAGUGCAACUGUGAUUGCUUUUCACAGUGUUUUUCACUCAGAAAUACAUCAACAUAAUGUUAUUUUAUUUUUUAAAAAUACUAAAACAUAUAUUAAUUUUAAACAAAAAAAUUCUAAAAUUUUUAGAAUCGCAAAUUGUACCAUGUUCCCAUAAGUGUUCCUGUCAGGAUAUUUCCACGCUGCAUGCCAGUGAAAAUAGACAGCCCCAUAACCUUCGUGGUUGCUUCUAACAAGAAUCUUUUUUCCUUGAAAGACAUAAUGUAAGGAGAGGUGUCCCUUUCUGAGAUGUAUGUUCUCAAAAGAAAAGUCUUCUUAAUAGAAUAUUAAAUUCUUCUUUAUACUUUGCAAAAAUAUUAAAUUAUUUUUUUUAUUCUUUGCAAGAAUAGUAACUUCUUCUUUAUUCUUUACAAUUUUAUUAUUAAAAAAAAAAAUCAUAAAACAAGUACAAACACACACAUACACUUUUACUAUAUUUUUUUUCUUUUUUUCUUUUUUUCUUACACACUACAAAUUAUACAAAUUCAAAAAAAAAAAAGCGAAGCAAAAAUUACAUUAAACACUUUAAAAAUUACAAAACAGACCCCAAAAAAUCCUUAAUAGUGUUGGGAAACAUUCUGGACCUGCAUGAACAGUGGUGGCGCGUUAAAAGUCGAACGCGUUCCAAAGUUUUUUGAAAAUUUAAAAUUCUUUUGAGACGAUGCUGAAAAUGGUAAAAACGAUGCAAAUAUAUUAAAAAAAACAUAUUUGUUUUUGGAUUUUUGAUGUUUUUCGCUAUUUUUGAAUUUUUCUUAAAAUUUAUCAAAACAUGAAUAAAAAAUUGAGUAGUAACAAUUAUCAUUGACUAAAAACCUAACUUACAAAUUGUACUUAUCAUACAACCAUCCUUCUCAUCUCUUUCAUGCAAAUGGCUCUAAGAAAUUGUCUGCAAAUGAAAGCAUUGGAUAAAAAAAGACAGUUUGCAAUAUUUCCUACCUUUCAAUUACAGGAAAGGAUAAAGGAUGACUUGGUCAUCUUCCAUUAGCUAACCAUUUUCUUUCUAGUCCCAUCAUUGUUUGUUUUUGUAUUUAAAAGUGAUUGAGUGCAUUUGAUUGGAAAAAAAAAUCCAAAAUUAAUGGAUUUUUAGAGCUUUUUGAUGGUUUAUAAAUAUUGAUAUAAAAAAUUAUUUUAAUAAAUUUUCAAGUAAAAAAUACUUUUUAAAAACACGUUACCUUACAAUACUAGAUGCAUAUAGAAUAUGUGUUUGAGAGUGCAGCUGUGAUUGCUUUUCAAAGUGUUUUUCACUCAGAAAUACAUCAACAUAAUGUUAUUUUAUUUUUUAAAAAUACUAAAACAUAUAUUAAUUUUAAACAAAAAAAUUCUAAAAUUUUUAGAAUCGCAAAUUGAACCAUGUUCCCAUCAGUGUUCCUGUCAGGACAUUUCCACGCUGCAUGCCAGUAAAAAUAGACAGCACCAUAACCUUCGUGGUUGCUUCUAACAAGAAUCUUUUUUCCUUGAAAGACAUAAUGUAAGGAGAGGUGUCCCUUUCUGAGAUGUAUGUUCUCAAAAGAAAAGUCUUCUUAAUAGAAUAUUAAAUUCUUCUUUAUUCUUUGCAAAAAUAUUAAAUUAAUUUUUUUUUAUUCUUUGCAAGAAUAUUAAAUUCUUCUUUAUUCUUUACAUUUUUAUUAUAAAUAAAAAAAAUUCAUAAAACAAGUACAAACAUACACAUACACUUUUACUAUUUUUUUUUCUUUUUUUCUUACACACUACAAAUUAUACAAAUUCAAAAAAAAAAAACAAAGCAAAAAUUACAUUAAACACUUUAAAAAUUACAAAACAGACCCAAAAAAUCCUUAAUAGUGUUGGGAAACAUUUUGGACCUGUAUGAAUAGUGGUGGCCCGUUAAAAGUCGAACACGUUCCAAAGUUUUUUGAAAAUUUAAAAUUCUUUUGAGACGAUGCUGAAAAUGGUAAAAACGAUGCAAAUAUAUUAAAAAAACAUAUUUGUUUUUGGAUUUUUGAUGUUUUUCGCUAUUUUUGAAUUUUUUUUAAAAUUUAUCAAAACAUGAAUAAAAAAUUGAGUAGUAACAAUUAUCAUUGACUUAAAACCUAACUUGGAAAUUGUACUUAUCAUACAACCAUCCUUCUCAUCUCUUUCAUGCAAAUGGCUCUAAGAAAUUGUCUGCAAAUGAAAGCAUUGGAUAAAAAAAGACAGUUUGCAAUAUUUCCUACCUUUCAUUUAUAGGAAAGGAUAAAGGAUGACUUGGUCAUCUUCCAUUAGCUAACCAUUUUCUUUAUAGUCCCAUCAUUGUUUGUUUUUGUAUUUAAAAGCGAUUGAGUGCAUUUCAUUUGAAAAACAAAAAGAAUAUAAAAUUAAUGGAUUUUUAGAGCUUUUUAAAGGUUUUUAUAUACUGAUAUAAAAAAUUAUUUUAAUAAAUUUUCAAAUAAAAAAUAUUUUUUAAAAACACGUUACCUUACAAUACUAGAUGCAUACUGAAUUUGUGUUUGAUAGUGCAGUUGUGAUUACUUUUCAAAGUGUUUUUCACUCAGAAAUACAUCAAAAUAAUAUUAAUUUUAAAAAAAUAUAUUUUAAAACCACUAAAAAUUUUAUUAAUUUUAAACAAAAAAAUUCUAAAAUUUUAAGAAUCACAAAUUAAACAAUGUUCCCAUCAGUGUUCCUGUCAGGACAUUUCCACUCUGCAUGUCAUUAAAAAUAGACAGCUCUAGAACCUUCGUGGUUGCUUAUAAUAAGAUUUUUUUUUCUUUGAAAGACAUAAUGUAAGAAGAGCUGUCCCUUUCUGAGAUGUAUGGUCUCGAAAAAAAAAGUCUUUUAUAUAAUUGCUUUCCAGUAUUGUUUGAUUAACAAUAGUGUUUGAUGGCCGUGCCUUGCAUGUAGGCCCGUGCCACUAACUUAAGCCACGCAGUUUUCUUUCUCUUCUGCCUUGUGAGAGAUGUAAUUUGAGAACAUAACAUAUCAGCAGGAUAGUUCCUGCUACGAGGAAGCCACUGAGAGCUCUUACAAGGUUAUGUUGAAGAUAGCCAAAUAACUACAUGGCCAAAGGAAUUUUAAUAGACAUCUCAAGUUUAAUAGAUUUUUUAAUUUUAACAAAAGCUUUUUGACUAAUCAAACUAUGUUUUCUCCAUGGUUGAGCAAAAAUCAAAAGCUACACAAUACCAAACCACCUCUUACUAUUUUUAUCACCUGUGCUCUUGUUUGUUCUUCUGCGCAAAUGUGAAAUAGUAUAUCAUAAGCAGUUUAAACGACAAAUCAGAAACGCUUUGCAUAUACAGAAAAAUGCUGCUCCAACCAUGUGUUUGAACAGCAAUUUUAUGAUAUCUUUCUGUUUAGACAACAAGAUGAGCCUCUUUCAGGCAACAAAAAUAAACACCAGACACAGUUUCACUGUGCAUGGAAACCUCCAACCAAGUAAAUUCUCUUUAUCAAGACAUCCCUCUUGCCUCUUUUUGUUAAAGUUACAGGGUCACUCUUCCAAAUGACAUUAAUUUUUCAGGACAAUAUUAAUAUAAUUCCAUGCAAAUCCAAACUAAAACACUAAGAACCCUGGACAAUGAGCAAUGUAGCAGAAGAUAUUUGGCGGACACACUUCAUCAAGUUUUCAGUUUCAUCUUCUUAAUUUCAAUAGCAAUGUAAAAUAACUCAUUACAGCAUCGCUAACACAAAAUCUAUCAUUAACAGGCACAUAUUCUGAACCACUGACAGCCAACCCACCAUUAAGAUCUAGUCAGCUCAUCUCUGUAACUACAUCCCAAAAACAAAGUCCAAUACAGUUGUUAAUAACAGCAAUAAAAAAUUCUUCCAAAUGCCGUCAUAACAUAUUUUUGAGAAGCUUUUCAGGAAAAAAAUGUAGUAUAUAUACAAUGACUUGAUACACAAGACUCAAGAGUAUACACAAUGAACUGCUGCUUCACAAGCUUUAGCACUCCAAAGGCACUGAACUUAUUAGUUACAAUACAAAAAAAUACGUCUAGACAAAUGCCAUUUUUAAUUAGAGAAUUACCAGGGAAAUGUAACACCUACCAAGCAUGGUGAAAAGAAAAAAAUAAACUCAGACAGACCACUUCAAUUAGUUGAACUGCAUUCCACAGCCAUUUAAAUCUUCAACCUAUAAAUAUUCCAGGACCAUUGCUAUGAUCUUGUAGCAGAUGACACAGAGAGAUUGCUCUUCCCUUGUAAAAUGAUGAAUAUAACUUUGAUCAGGGAUGAUAGUGAAGUAAAAGCACAGGGGGCUAUCUGUGGUAAAUGUUUGAUGACAUAUAAGAUUGGCAUAGCAGACAUGAGAGUAGAACAUUGGAGAGUGUGUUAAACCUAUUAUUGACCAUGAUACUUCCCCACCCCUUUUAUUCUCAAGAACUUAUGAUGAUAGAAUUCAUCAAAGGACAGGCGUUGAACUGCAACAAGAGAGAUACAAAAAAAUGAAUGGUUCCACAAAUGAAUCAGGAGGGAAGAAAGAAAGAUAUGUUUCGUUGGGGUCAGGCCAUGUACUAAACCUGGAUUUGCAGAAAGAAGUCUUGAACAUAUAUCAACACAGUCCGGAUGCAACCCUGGAAGGAUGUGUUGAGAGAAAGGAAGGCAUGAACUUGACUUGAUGUUCUGCAGCAACUGAGGUCAAGAGAACUUCUUUUAUUAGAGACUGGAGCGAUCACAAUUCAAGGAUUAUAAACUUACAGAAAAGACACUACCUGGAAAUUAGUCCUGCCACGAAAAGGUGGGUAACCAUUAAGAAGCUCAAAAAGAAUUACACCAACACUCCACAUGUCAACCUAUACAAGGAAGCACUGUUAUUCAAUAAAUUCUAUUCUGAAGCAAAGAAAGCAAUGCACCAAAGGAAAACAUUAGCAAAUCUUUACCUUACAAUCAUAUCUUUGAAAUUGAAGAACUUCUGGAGCCAUGUAAAAUGGAGAUCCGCAUACUGUCUCCACAUAGUUAUUAGGAAGCACCCUUCUAUUUAAAGAUGAGAAAGAUGAAAGUAAAAUUAAUACAUUGCCUGACAUGUCUUCAACAAAUUUUUGGCAUUUUUUCUUAAUUAAGGGGAGAAAAAUUAACAUAGUUUCAUAGUGGUCUCCCUGAAACUUUCCAGGAAACCAUCCCAUGAACUUUCUUCUACCAAAAAGUUACCUCGAUAAACCAAAAUCAGCUAUUUUGAGCACCACAUCGCUCUCCUUGCCAGAAAGGAGAAUGUUCUACAACAAAUUGACCAAUGUAAGCCAGUUUCAAGGCAACUCAAUCUUCAGCCAACAAUUUUGAACUCCACCAUAGGUAAAAGAAUUGCAUGUACAACACCUCAUACCUCAGGUUUCAAGUCUCUAUGAAUAAUAUGAUGGCUCUGCAGAAUUUUCAAACCAUCCCCUGAACCAUAUAAAUCAUCGAGAUUACAAUUAUGUAAAUAGGGAUGCGAAACAAGCAACUCAUAUGUUGUACAGUGAAACAGAUAUCAAAUGACCGCUACCCAUCUGUUGUGUAAAUCUUUUAGCAAUCUUCUCUUGAACUCUCCCAUGUUGUUGAAGAUAAGAAGCUAGAUUUCCUCCAGAACAAAACUCUAGGACCAGGAACACGCAACAUUCAUCCUGAGAUUGCAGAUAUUCUGAUUUGCAGAAAUGAAAUAUUAUGGAAACAGAAAGCAUAUAAAUCACAGCUACAGAAGGUAGAAACAGAUCAAGUUAAACUCGAAAUGAGAUUCUCCUUUACAUAUGUCAAGCUUUUAGUUACAUGUAUCCUUCUACAUCAUUCCACUUUAUCUAGAUCAAUGUCCUCACUGGUUCAGUCAUUUAAGAAUUUCAAGGAUUCAUGUUAAUGGAAUUAAUAAUUAGAGUAACUAGCAUUUAUCUACAAUUCUUCAAGAGAUGACAGCUUGGAUAGAGAGCAGGAAAUGAGUUGUAGAUAUUGCUAAGUAGAAAACACCUAGGUCAGUGGCCUUCAACACUACAUUUGCCAGCACGAUCAAAAUUAAUCUAACCACUGUUUCUCAUGGGUAAUCAGGUCUUUGAGGGUAUUUAGUGGAGAAACUAAAUAAAAUCAUGCUCUGUCCUUUUUUCUCCUCAAUCAUGGUGAAUGGAGAGCAUAAGUUUUUUAUUCUGGUAUUCCAUGGUCCACAGUCCUUAGUAUGAUGUCUGAUACAAAGGGUAGAUAAUGAGCUAGUGAAAAAAUGUUGUUGAGGACAUUUUGCUUCUCAUAUGUGCUUUGCAAUGACACCAUUCAUAAUAAGUCUGUAGAAAGACGGGGGCUUGAUGACAUGCUUCCUUUCUUGCAGAUUUUGGAAAAUGUCUGAUUUAAGGUUAAACACAUAGAAGAUGAGAAUUAUGGGUAUUUUCAUCCAGGACUUGAAUUGGUUCUCAAUUAUCCCUCUAUAGCCCAGUGUGUUGCCAGGGUUGGCCCUUGGCAUGUUUAGAGGUCCCCAUGGUGGCAAUCCACAUUUUCCAACCUUUUAGAAUUUGGUUGAAUCAAAUUCUAAUCUCUCUUACUUUGCUUUAAUAUUUUAAGCAUGAUAGAUGCACUACUACUCCAUAUACUCUUUUGGAGCACCAUGUCUAACAACAAUGCUUCUGUGAACAUCAUGCCUAGAUUCAUCUCCACAUUCCACAUUACUCCAUCAACUCAACAGUAUUUUAAGAUUGCAUCCUCAAUCCAAGACAUUAAAUUGCUAAGCCACAAAUCCCAUCUCAAGAUGAAUAAUAAUUGACUUCAAAAAUAAUCCAAGCUAUCUUGAGUAAAACAAGCCCUGCUUCUAAUUCAACAUUUACAACAGAAAGGAACCCUAAAAAACAAAAUCAACCAACUUUUCCAUUAUUUUCCCUAAAUCAACAUAUUUUCAUAAAAGGGCAUGCUAAAAAUCACCUAAAUAAUCAAAACCGAGUAAAAAAAAAAAUUCAAUCACAAAAGAAAUUUACAACAAGGGUUACCCUACAAAUCCCCUAAGCAUCAAACCAACCAGCUCUACAAUCAAUCAAACAACACAAAUCAGCCUACAACAUCAACACCAACAACAAAUUUACUCAAAAGGGUAUGGAAACCUUACCUCAAAGACAUCAAGAAGGCGAAUGAUGUUGGGGUGAUUGACAGAAGACAAGAAAUUAAGCUCACAAUCUAAGCAGUUCCUCAAAUUCUUGUUGAGUUUAGAGAGAUAAACUUGCUUCACUGCCACUUCCUCCCCUGUUAUUUUGUUCUCGGCUUUCCAUACUGUGGAAAAAGAGCUUUCACCUAGUUUUGAUUUCAGGAUGUAGUUUCCGAUUGUGUGAGAUUCUGAGAGAUUCUUUUGUUGCUUCAAGAUCCAUUUCUGUUGGUUUUGGAUGGUUCGACAAAGAGUACUGAAAACGUUGUAGUACUAUUUUGCCUUGGAUUUUUGUUCUUCUGUUUUUGUCAUAUGUCUGUUUGUGAACGUGGCAGAGGUAAAGAGAUGAGAGUCUAGAUUUUCUUUAUCGAUAAAUUAUAUUUUAGGCACUGUGGCUCGUGCUAUACAGAUUAUUUUUUUGAACUAACAUAUUUUUUAAUAAAAAAAUUAAUUAUGAAUUAUGAGAAUAAUAUUUUUUUAAAAUAAAAUAAUAAGAGUUAAUUGCUUGAAAUAACAUAUUAAAAUCUCAUUUUAAUUAAGGAAAUAAUCACAGUUUGAUUAAAGCACACAAAAAAAAAAAAAAUUCUUCUUCAUUUUCUUUCUUGGCCAAAAACUAACUUUUUUUUUUUUUUUUUUAUAUGUUAGCUUUCACUCUUAAAAUUAAAUCAAAGUAGCUUUUUAUACAUACUUAAAAGAUUUUAAAUCUUUUUUUUCCUUUUUUAUCUUAGUUUAUAUCAAUUAUGAUCCAAAAGAAAAGAAAAGUGAUUAAAGCCCAAUAAUUCUCCACCUUUUUACUCAAUUAGGGGCUUUACCAAGCCUGCUUAUCUUAUCUUCUACAUAACUCAAAUACAUAUUUUUAUUAUUAUAGAUUUUCUCAACAAUAAAAGACUUAAACUCUAUAAAAUCUUGAAUCCAUUAACAUUUAACUUUAAUGUGUUUUAAUCAAGAAUAAAAAAUAGGAUACUUGUUCAGAUGAAUUGCUCUUAGACUAUUGUAUCACAACACAACGUUCUAUUGCUUUAACUGUCUUGGAGCUUACUUUAACCUAUAAACACUUAUUUUUAACUUACAAACUAGUUUCUCUUUAUCUUUUACUUCACUCUUUAGGCUAUUUUAUAUAUAUUUUCUCAUUAAAGUCACCAUAGAGCUCUUCAACUUCAAGAUUCAAACUAGUAGUUGUACCAAGCAUAACAUGCAUUGAAGAUAUUUGGAUUAUGGGUGAAAAGAUUUCCUCUAAAUAAAUAUUCUGUUCAAAACUUAUUAUAAAUAAUCUUGUCUUGUACCUUGGUUAUGAAAGAUUUUCUUCAAUUUUUAACAUGAUUAUCUAUUUUUUUUUAAGAAAAAACCUUGUAAAAGGGUUCUAAUAAAUAAAAAAUACAAUAAUAACUCUGAAUUUUAAUUUAUCAUCAUUAAAAGUCUUCCCUAUUUAUAUAGAUAUCAAGAAAUUAAACCCUAGUAUUCUAAACUAAAUAAAUUUUAAAUGUAAGAAAUUACAAACAAACAAUAAACUUUCCUUUUUCCUACACAACAUCAUAUAAUUUGUCAAAAGAUAUGCUAAUGAUGCUGGAGUUGUGAUUGAGAUUGGACUGCUGAAAGCUCUCUGCAAGCUGUUACAGGAAAUAUUUAUUUGAUUUCAUAGACAAAUGAAUCUUUACAGUGGUCUACAUGAAUGGUACGAUGGCAAAGCUGGGCUGCGUCAUUUGCCAAUUGUGCCGAAGAGAAGAUGGACAUCAUCUGUGCUUGUUGCAUCAAUUGGUGGCGAUUAAUUUGUGGAUGAUGAGGUUGCUUCAUUUACACUACUUUCUCCUUAGAUCUGCGUUGUGACUAUUCUGACAAGAGAUAGUGUAUAGUUUUAUUAUGUUCAUACAAGAUUAAUUCCUCAAAGUAUAACACUUGCUUUCUGUUUAUAUAAUUUCUUGAUGGUGUAAGCAACUAAACGUCUUUCUUUCUAAUAUCUAACUUUAGCUGUCAGACGUAUGAAGGUGGUAUUGCAGGAGAAUCAGGUCACCUUUACACACAAAAGUUGCCUCUAACUAUGUAUUCUCUCUUUUAAAUUUAUUCUAAUUUUGCCUGGAUCCCAACACAAUACAGGUAUCAUUUGAGGAUCCCAGUCUCAAUGUCAGGGCUCUAAGUGAAAAUCCCGAUUUUUAACCUGGAUUAAUCCCAAUACAAACUGGCCAUAGCCUUGGCAAGUGUUUUUCCAAGUAUUAUGGUGUUUGUUUAAUUACCUGGGGCCUAGUAUGGUGUCAUCCAGCCUUUACAAACAGAGAAAGUCAUGAAAGAUUUUGAAUUAAGCUCACUCCAGUUCAUAUACUCCACCUGUAGUAGAUGCCUAUAUUUUCUAUUUAUGGUAUUCUUGCCUGGAUUACAUUUUUAUUAGAGACUUGCAGAUCACUGGCAAUGUUUUCCUAACUAAAAAUUAGAAUCUGUGUUGCCAACUUUGCUCACUCUAUGGCGUUAUGGUCCUGAUUCUUAUUCCAUGCCGACCUGGGUCUUAUCCCAAACUGGCACCUGGCUUUAAUUAAGCCUCUACCAGAAUGUUCACUUCUGAGCUAUCUGCAUUCAUUUCCUUAGAAAGCAGACAAUAUACUUUCAAGUGGAGUGGAAAGUUGCAAUCUCACUCGAACAGUAACAAAUGCAAUUAAGAAUGCAUGCAAAAGCUGAAAAUAAAAAAAAAACAAAAUAAAUACACGUUCAAGUGAAUUUGCCUUCUUUGGUUACUGUUCAAGUGAAUUAAAUUUCAGUGCCAAUCUCUUAACAUGCAAAAUGCAAAAACUGGGAGAGUAGAGACACGACUUACCUGGUCCGUUGGCCACCCUGACUAUUUCAGUCCUCCACUGUUUUUGGUUCUUUGUUUUGCUUUCGUUUCUCUUCUCUCCCUCUCCUCUGUUCUGUAUUCCGUUUUCUUUUCUUUCACAAUGACGAAAGGAUGAAAGAAAGAAACCCCUCUGAUCCCCAAGAUAUAAUGUAAGGAGAGCUGUUCCUUUCUGGAACGUAUGGUCUCAAAAAAAAGUCUUUUAUAUAGUUGAUUUUCCAGUAUUGUUUGAUUAACAGUAGUGUUUGAUGGCUCUGUGCCUUGCAUGUAGGCCCGUGCCACUAACUUAAGCCACGCAGUUUUCUUUCUCUUCUGUCUCAUGAGAGAUGUAAUUAGAGAACAUACAUAUCAGCAGGAUAGUUCCUGCUAAGAGGAAGCCACUGAGAGCUCUUACAAGGUUUUACUUACAAAUUGCUUAACCAGGAAUACGAGCAUGAGAAGACAAGGGAUGCAUGAAACUUUGUUUCCCUUUGUCUGGUGAGGUUGAUGAUAGCCAAAUAACUACAUGGCCCAUGGAAUUUUAACAUCUCAAGUUUAAUAGAUUUUUUAAAUUUUAUAGUGAUAUUUUUUUAAAAAAAUUAACGUGGAUAUACGGAUUAGUUGAGACGUAUCUCAACUAAUCGUACUAAAAUUUAAUAGAUUUCUUAAAUUUUCUUAACUUGCUCACAAUUUUUUAUGAGGUUAUACUGCACUACCGACAAACUUAGUGCAUUAACUUAACAUCUUCCAUUAGAAAUAGAAUCAGCAAUUCAUUUCCUCCUUGUUUGCUCAAUGCAAAGACAAUGUCAACCUCCUUACAAUCUAUCAUGAGAAUUUGGGAGAUGAUAUGCAAAGCACUCUUUGCUGUGACGGUGACCUGACUUACAAGUUGAAUCUUUUGCGGGGCCUGCAAUCGUUCCAAUCUUUACAUCCUGUGUGCCAAACAAGUUGGAAAAGCACAAGACGAGCGUCUUGCAUUAUAGCUUUUGGUUCACCUUCUGAAAUAAAAGGAUGGUCCCAAAAGACAAAAAGAAAAAAGAAAAAAGAAAAAAAUGAAAGGACAUCCAGUCUAGAGAGAUAAUUUUGAAUUUUCUUUGUUUCCUUACGGGUUGAUGAAAGAUAAAAACGUUUUUAUGAUUUUCCCAACCAAAAUUAUUAAAUAUUACAUAAUUUCAAUCUACACUUUUACUUUUGGAUAUAGGCCAUUGACCUUGCUUGAGUUAAUUUUCCGAAUUCAAAGUCGAAAACAUAAAAAAAAACCCAUAAGAUAUUAAAAAUAAGAAUAGAGGGAGUAAAAUUAAUUAUUUAUGUGUGACAACAUAUAAUUAGAAAAUUUCGUCAACAGAAUAAAAGGAUAUGUGACUUUUAUAAAUUUAAUCAUUUAUGUGUGACAACAAGUAAUACAUACAUAUAUAUAUAUAUAUAUAUAUAUAAUGGCUGAUGGAAAACAAACCCUUAAUUGUAUUAGGGUCUUGAACUCAUAGAAAUCCAAUGAAAUAUAUAGGCUGUGUAAAUACAGUCCAUUUGUUCCAUAGGCUGACUGCGCCCCAGCUUCCAAGCCUAAGCUUUCCUAGAUAGGGUGCAGCCUAUGUUCCAUCCAAAGCCCAAGCUAGCUAGGGGGUGGUUUCAGCCCAUAAUUCUUUUUUUUUUUUUUUAAAUUAAAAAUAUAUUUUUUAAAAAUAAUUAAUAUUAUUUUAAUAUAUUUUAAAAUAAAAUAAAUUUUAAAAAAUAAUUUUUACCACAUUUCCAAACUAUACUUCAUAUUUUUUCUUUAUAUAUAUAUAUGAAAAAAAUAAUGAGCAGUUUUAUAUUUUUUUCAAAGAAUAAAAUUGAGAAUUUAGUAUUUAUAUGUGUUAAAUAAUAUUUAUGUAGUAUUAUUUAUUAAUGGUAGAAUAGUACUUUCAGUUUAACCUAUAUAUACUUUAUUUGUAUUUAGGUUAAGACUAUGCAUUCAUAAUAUACAGAUUAUUCAGAAUUCUAGCCUCUCUUUUGUGAUUGAUCUCAAUAAGUUUAACAUGAUAUCAGAGCUGGUUUUAUGAAACGAGGCUUAAUCCCAAAUACAGCUUCGCGGAUCCAACUGCAAAAUUAGGUAUUUCGACAGUUUCUUUUUGGAGUGAUAUUUUGUCUUAACAAGAUUAAGUUUCUUUGCUUAAUCCCAAUUUUUUUUUGGAGUGAUAUUUUGUUUUCCGCUUCUGCAAAAUUAGGUAUUUCGACAGUUUCUGCAAUUAUUUUGGUAUUUCGUCUUCCCUUCAGCAUCUGCAAUUUGGUAUUUGCGUUCAGUUUUUGCAAAUUUGUUUUGUGUUUUGGAGUAAUCGUAUAAUUUCGAGAAGAGAUUUGUUUAGUUUCUGCAAUUUAGUAUUUUGUUUCCGCUGCUUUUGCAUUCUGGUUAUUUGUGAUUGCUGAUUAUGGCUACUGAAAGAGAUGAUUCGCUUCAGUCUGUGAGUGUGAGGUUGGAUGGGAAGAACUAUUCGUAUUGGAGUUAUGUAAUGAGAAAUUUCCUUAAGGGUAAGAAGAUGUGGGGGUAUGUUAGUGGAACUUAUAUGAUACCUAAGAAUAUUGAGGAGGGGGAUGUUGUUUGAUAGAUACAUGGGAAGCAAAUAAUGCAAAGAUCAUUACUUGGAUCAACAAUUCUGUUGAGCAUUCGAUAGGUAUGCAGUUGGCGAAGUAUGAGACAGCAAAAGAGGUUUGGGAUCAUCUGCAAAGGUUAUUCACACAAUCAAAUUUUGCAAAACAGUAUCAAUUAGAGAAUGACAUACGAGCUCUUCAUCAGAAGAAUAUGAGUAUCCAAGAGUUUUAUUCUGCUAUGACAGAUCUUUGGGAUCAAUUGGCUCUUACAGAAUCGACAGAAUUAAAGGCAUGUGGUGCCUAUAUUGAGCGUAGAGAGCAGCAACGAUUGGUACAGUUUUUAACAGCACUUCGCAGUGAUUUCGAAGGACUUAGAGGUUCAAUUCUGCAUCGUUCUCCACUGCCUUCUGUUGACUCUGUUGUUAGUGAGUUAUUGGCUGAAGAAAUACGUCUUCAGUCUUAUUCUGAAAAGGGAAUUCUUUCUGCUUCAAAUCCUUCAGUAUUAGCAGUGCCUUCUAAGCCAUUCUCUAAUCAUCAGAAUAAGCCUUACACAAGGGUUGGCUUCGAUGAGUGCAGUUUCUGUAAGCAGAAAGGUCAUUGGAAGGCUCAGUGUCCUAAGUUGAGACAGCAGAAUCAAGCUUGGAAGUCUGGCAAUCAGUCACAAUCUAAUGCUCAUAGACCACCUCAGGGUUAUAAACCACAACACCACAAUACUGCAGCAGUAGCUUCCUCGAGUUCUAUUACCGAUCCUAAUAUUUUGGCUGAGCAAUUUCAGAAGUUUCUCUCCUUGCAGCCACAAGCAAUGUCCGCUUCUUCUUCCAUAGGUCAGUUGCCUCAUAGUUCCUCAGGUAUGUCACAUUCUGAAUGGGUCUUGGAUUCUGGUGCUUCUCAUCAUAUGUCUCCAGAUUCCUCAUCUUUUACCUCUGUAUCCCCUUUGUCCUCCAUUCCUGUUAUGACUGCUGAUGGCACUCUAUGCCCUUAGCAGGUGUUGGUUCUGUUGUCACACCUCACAUGUCUCUCCCUAAUGUUUAUCUUAUUCCAAACUCAAAUUGAAUCUUGCGUCUGUUGGUCAAAUAUGUGAUUCUGGUGAUUAUUUAGUCAUGUUUUCUGGUUCUUUUGUUGUAUACAGGAUCUGCAGUCUCAGAAGCUGAUUGGGACAGGCCGUAGGAGAAUGGACUAUAUAUUUUGGAUGAGUUAAAAGUGCCAGUUGCUGCUGCUGCCGCUGCUGCUACUACCGUUGAUUUGUCUUCCUUUCGUUUGAGUCUUUCAUCUUCUAGUUUUUAUUUAUGGCAUUCCCGUCUAGGUCAUGUUUCGUCUUCUCGUUUGAGAUUUUUGGCAUCCACAGGAGCUUUAGGAAAUUUGAAAACUUGUGACAUUUCUGAUUGUAGUGGAUGUAAAUUGGCAAAAUUUUCCGCCUUACCUUUUAAUCGAAGUAUUUCUGUUUCUUCUUCACCAUUUGAUUUGAUUCAUUCUGAUGUAUGGGGACCUUCUCCUGUUGCCACAAAAGGAGGGUCUCGAUAUUAUGUCUCUUUUAUUGAUGAUCAUACUCGUUAUUGUUGGGUUUAUUUAAUGAAACAUCGUUCUGAAUUCUUUGAGAUAUAUGCAGCUUUUCGAGCUCUUAUCAAAACUCAACAUUCUACUGUGAUCAAAUGCUUUAGGUGUGAUUUGGUGGGGAAUACACACUUCUAAUAAAUUUUGCCAAUUGCUUGCCCUAGAUGGAACCAUCCACCAAACUUCAUGUACAGAUACUCCUGAGCAAAAUGGUGUUGCUGAAAGAAAACAUAGGCACAUUGUUGAAACUGCUCGUUCUCUCUUGUUGUCUGCUUUUGUUCCUAGUGAGUUUUGGGGAGAAGCUGUUCUUACUGCUGUAAGCUUGAUUAAUACAAUUCCAUCUUCUCAUAGUUCGGGUCUAUCUCCUUUUGAAAAGUUAUAUGGGUAUUCCUGAUUAUUCCUCAUUUAGAGUCUUUGGUUGUACUUGUUUCGUUCUUCGUCCUCAUGUAGAACGAAGUAAGCUAUCCUCUCGAUCCGCUAUUUGUGUUUUUUGGGCUAUGGUGAAGGUAAAAAGGGUUAUCGUUGUUUUGAUCCAAUAACUCAGAAACUUUAUGUGUCUCGUCAUGUUGUCUUCCUUGAGCAUAUACCUUUCUUUUCUAUUCCAUCCACUACUCAUAACCUGACCAAAUCUGAUGUUAUUAGUAUAGAUCCGUUUUCUGAGGAUUCUGAUAUCUCUCCCCAUGUUCGAUCAAUUUGUACUCAUAACUCUGCAGGUACUGGUACUUUACUCUCUGGCACACCUGAAGCUCCAUUCUCAUCUACAACCCCUCAAACUUCAUCUGAGAUUGUGGAUCCACCUCCAUGUCAGUCCAUCCGUAUUCGUAAGUCUACAAAACUACCAGAUUUUGCUUAUUCUUGUUAUUCUUCAUCAUUUACUUCCUUUUUAGCUUCUAUUAUUUAUUAAGGGUAGAAUAGUACUUUCAGUUUAACCUAUAUAUACUUUAUUUGUAUUUAGGUUAAGACUAUGCAUUCAUAAUAUACAGAUUAUUCAGAAUUCUAGCUUCCGUUUUGUGUUUGAUCUCAAUAAGUUUAACAAUAUGUACAAUUGUUUUUUUGCGUGUUUUUUUGUGGGUUGGACCAUGUUUUUUAAAUGUUUUAAAAUCUUUUCUAGCUCUAAAUUAUUUUAAAACUAUGAAUUUAGUAUUUAUAUGUGCAAUUUUUUUUGGUCCUCAAACCUUCUUUCAUAGUAUUUGUUCGUGUAAUUGUACCAUGGUUUUCAAAACUUUUGAAGGUUUUUUUAGUUUAAAAUUAGUUUUUUUAAAUUUUUGAAUCGUUUUAAUAAGUUGAUAUAAAAAAAUAAAAAAAAUAUUUAAAUAUAUUAAAAAAAAAUAUUUUGAAAAAAAAUAUUUCUUAUAGAUAAAGCUUUAAAUUUCUUUUUGUUGCCAUCUCUUUGAACAUAUUUUUGAUACUUCACAGGUCAAAUUGAAAGCAAAAACAGAUAAAAAAACCUUACAAAUCACUUCAAAUCCACGACCAUUUAACACACAAAUACAUGGUUACAUAUCACAUAUAGAUUAUGCAUAAAACAUGAGGCAAAUUAUUUGGAGACUAAGCGGUGCUGCGGAAUGGAGCUAUAGAUGGUGGAGUUGGAAUGUCACCGGACCCUUCAAGCAUCAAGAUCACAUUCUUGAUACAAGGACGUGAAGCUGGAUCAUGUUGAACGCACAGCAGUCCAAUCUUUACCAUUCUUUCCAGUGACUCGAAUUCUAUAUCUUCAUCCUUCACAAGCUUAUCCAACUGUCCAGCUGCAAAGCAUUGAUAUGCCCAACUGGGAAGAUUCAUUUCAUCUGGUGUUGAGACGUCUACUUUUAUACUGCUUCUGCAAACAAUGAUCUCCGAAGUACAACUCCAAAGCUGUAGAUAUCAGCUUUUACCGACAUCAAGGCGUUAUUCUGCCAUUCAGUGCCAUGUGCCCUCGACUCUGUGAGAGUGCCAUCGAGCUUCUUAUUCAUCUGGAUAUAAUAGCUUCGAUAAUCCGAAAUCGGAGAUUUUGGCCAUCCAAGAAUCAUCCAUGAGAAUGUUUUGAGGGGUUAUAUUGCAAUGGAUGAUGCAGGCUUGACACUCUUCAUGUAGAUAGAGUAUUCCUCGAGCUAUAUCCAGAGCAAUCCUCCUCUACUUUUCUUUCCAAAUGGGGCGCUCUCAGACUGGAAUAAAAGAUCGGCAAGGGUGCCGUUUCUCAAGUACUCGUAGACCGAGAACCCUUCCGAGAGCCCUCCACUCACAAAAACCAAGCAACCGAACCAAGUUUCUGUGAUAAGUUUGUCCAAUCACAGUGAUUUCUGCUCGAAACUUUCUUUUCCCCUUCAUCUAAAACUUUCUCAAGUCUCUUAACAGCAACAGUUCUGUCACCCUCAGGAUUGUCCCUCUGUAAACUGCACCAAUAGAACCCGCCCAGCCUCUCUCCCAUGAAACCACUGUAGCUUUCUCAAGCUCACUAUAAGAAAAUGACCGCAGAGUGAACUCUCCAAGCCAAGCUUAUGAUUCCCGACAGCUUUUCGUAAAGAUAAGCUCGAUCCCUGUACACGCAGAAAGUAGAGAUUGCAAUGACAAAACACAAGAAAGUAACAGAGCCGAAUGCUAUAGCAAGAAACACAAGCAAACUUUUCUUGCUUUCUAUGAUGAUUGUCCGGCUCAUUGGAGGUGCAGCAGGAGUUGGUUUAACUUUGAAGAAGGCUAUAGAUGAUUCGUUUAUAUCUUUUAUACCAUAUCGAAUUGGUGCAGUAUACUUUUCACACCUCUCAUUCUUAUAUAGAGCAACAUCACAAAGACAAUCUUCCAGGCAAGACAAACCACAAUUGUUUUUCUUCUCAUCUAGGACAGAAUAAGGAUAUCGUUCGAACAAUAUAUUCUCUACGGUUAUGACAUCGUACAUUUGCCCUUCUUUGGUGCCUGUGCAAAAACUUUCAGGGACAUUCUUGUAGCAUCCACUGAAUUUCUCACUGGGAUCAUUGAAAGCAAAUCCAGGAUAACAGGAACAGUCAGCAUUAGUGCCCAUGCCAGAGCAAUAACUGUUGAAAUCACAGAAGCCACGAACAUUGCAUUGAUUAUUCAACGCAGACCACUCAAUACGCACACUCCGGCUAGUUUUGUUCUCUAAGCAGUGUGAAUACAACCUGAAAAUCCCAUCAGCAUCAAGCGUCGCACGAAAGAUUGUUGUUUUGUUGUUACAGGGAUAAGAACUUCUUGCCAACAAGACUGGUUUUUUAGAGACCGUAUCCAUGAACAGAAAUCCCUGGGGAUUGAGAUAGAGACUCAACCCCUUUUUGCUGUCUUGAUAAGUAUCACUGGCCCAGUAAGCAUCAACAGAUAGACCAGCGCUGUUUGUAGGGUAGGCGACAAGGUUUCCAUCUGCCUGCAUCGCGAGGAAAAACCUUCCACUGGAGUGAUUUGAGCUCGACACACUUGAAAUCAAUUUAUCAGAAUAAGUAAGAUUCUGACCUACUAAUAUGGUGUCAGUUGGGUGAUCAAAGCUUUGCCAAAUAACAGAAGAACCAUUGUAAAGCACGAAAUUACCCGAAUCAAGCAUUGAAGCUGAAGCUGCGAUUUCUGAAACAUUAGCAAUAAGAUUUUCAUUGCCCUGCUCAGUUCGAAGAAGCAGCUUACCCUCUUCUGAUAAGUGAAUUGUAGCAUUGAAGGAGACUGGUUCAUCAUCUCGAUUUGCAGUCCAGACGACCGUGUUAUUAGGCUGACCCAUCAUCCAUAUUCCUACAGCAAAUCCAUUUCCCUGUGAAUAGAAGCCAAACGCAAAAUUGCCUGAAGGGGAUUGCCAUGAAUUUAAGUUAGAGAUGGGAGAUAACUGAGAACCUAAGUGUAUUUCACCAAAUCGGUUUGGUUGAGUUCUUGCUUCCACGAAGAGUAUAGAUAACAUUAGAAGCAGAAGCCCUGAUACCAAAGCCAUGCGGACAGGAGUGUGGUGUAAAGAGCCAAACAGAUACAGAAAAGCUAGCUAAUUUUUAGACUAUACCGGCUAAAUGUUAAUGUGAUGAAAAUUCUAGCAAACUUCAAAACUAAAACCGUGUGAAAUGAAACAUUAAGCGUUGAUUUAGACCCAUUUUCCGGUCUAAAUCAACGCUUAAUGUUUACAUACGUCUGCAACUUUUCUUAGAGUGGCCUCGUGUGGUGUUCCACAAAAGUCUACCAAACAUGUUAGACCAGUUGGCCGAGAGAAGUCAUUAUCUUCCUUCACUGAUACCCAGAAGCAACCCUCCAAGUCAAAAUAAUAAAGAAGCAGAAGCCCUGAGUUGAGAAUUACUGAAUGUCUUAGGUUUAGCCUUAGCCAACCUUUCCUAUUUAUAUAUGUAGGGAAGAAUACAGUAGUAACCAUAGGGAUUACAACAUUGGAUUAAUCCUACAUUACAUUAAUAUCCUAUGUAUAGAUAUACAUGAUAUACAUUCUAUAAUAUGCCCCCUCAAGCUGAGGGUGGAGGAUCGACCCGAAGCUUGAACCUGAAGGCAGUAAAGGACGCAGCGGAAAGUGGUUUGGUGAAGACAUCAGCAAGUUGAUCCUGAGAGGGGAUAAACCGAAUUUGAAUUUCCUUCUUUGCUACCCGGUCACGGACAAAAUGAUAGUCUACCUCAACAUGCUUAGUACGAGCAUGAAAGAUAGGAUUUGCCAGAGAUAAGUAGCACCAAGAUUAUCACACCAAAUAGUAGGAGCCGAGAUGGAGGGAACCUGAAGAUCUGUUAACAAAUAUUGAAGCCAGAUGACCUCAGCAGUACCAUCUGCUAAGGCUUUAUACUCAGCCUCAGUGGAAGAGCGAGCAACUGUACGUUGCUUGCCGGAUUUCCAUGAAAUCGGUGUUUGACCAAAGAAAACAAGAUAACCACCCGUAGACUUGCGAUCAUCAAUACUCCCAGCCCAAUCGCAUCUGUAAAACCAUGAAGAGCAAAGGAGGUACCUCGAGUGAUAUGAAAACCAUAAGAAGCCGUUCCUUUGAGAUAGCGGAGUAUGCGUUUAACAGCAGCCCAAUGGAAAUCUGUAGGAGCAUGCAUGUACUGACAGACUCUGUUAACAGCAAAACAGAUAUCUGGGCGAGUGAAUGUAAGAUACUGAAGAGCACCCACAAUUUGACGAAACCGUGUGGGAUCAGAAAAUGGAUGAUCCGGCUGUAGAGCAAGUUUAGAGGGAGAAACUGGAGUGUCAACCGGUUUGCAGGAAGUCAUACCAGCCCGAGUGAGGAUGUCAAGAAUAUAUUUUUGUUGGCGCAACAUCAGACCCAUACCUGUAGACUGAACUUCAAUACCUAGAAAGUAGUGAACAUCACCUAAGUCACGUAGCUUGAAUUCAGAGCUUAGUAACUGGACUAGAUGAUGGAGCAUGGCAGAGUUGCUGCCUGUAAGCAGAAUAUCAUCAACAUAGACGAGAAGAUAGAAGAUAUUAGUGCCAUCAGAUAAGAUAAACAGGGAAGUGUCAACCUUGGAGGCAAGGAAACCAAUAGAGAGUAAAAAAUCACUCAGACGAGUGUACCAUGCCCUUGGUGCCUGUUUUAAACCAUAUAGUGACUUGUGCAACCUGCACACAUGAGAUGGAAGAGUAGAAUCAACAAAACCUGGAGGUUGUUUCAUGUAGACCUCUUCAGUAAGAACACCAUUGAGAAAGGCAUUAUGAAUAUCAAGCUGAUGAAUCUUCCAAUUGCGGGAAACUGCAAUGGAAAAGACUAAUCUGACGGUGGCCUGCUUAAUAACUGGGCUGAAAGUUUCAGAAUAAUCAAUGCCUUCCUGUUGAGUAAAGCCUCUAGCAACUAGACGGGCUUUAUAACGUUCGAUGCUGCCAUCAACGACGUUUGAUGCGAUAUACCCAUCGGCUGCCCACAACAUUCAUCGAUGGAUGAAAGGGCACUAGAGACCAAGUAUGAUUGGAUCGUAAAGCCUUGAUCUCAUCACACAUGGCAUCAUGCCAAGCCACAUACUUAUCUGCAUCAGAAAAGGCAACAGGUUCAGAGGAAGGAGAGAGCAAUACCCGAGAAACAGCUGCAUUAGCGGCAACAGAGGACACCAUAUUGGCAUUUUUGGGCUGUCGUGAUCGAAGGAUCAUAGGGUGUCGGCUGAGAACUGGCUGUGACGCAGGUGAAGGAGGCAUGACAGAGGUGUCAUGAUGCAGCGGAGAGAUCCACCACCCGAUUUAGUCCAGGAGAAGAAUCCGGUGAAGAAGCUGCCGCAAGUGGAGAGCUGGCAGCAGAGGCAGAGUCGGCAGAAGCCGAAUUGGUGGCAGAAUAAAGAGGAGCUGAAGACAAGCCAGAGGAUCUCCCACUAUGCGCAAGGACUUCGUGCUGGAGAACAGGAAACACUGACCUGCAACCUGUAGCUGCAACAGUAUGGUUAGAUAAAGAUGCAUGGGGUGAGCGGCAAGGGAAAUAUGGGGCUGUGGUGCUUGAGUCGGCAGUAAGGGCAGGGCAGAGGCAGAGGCGGGUGGGAUGGAUUUUGAGCUGUAAACAGUGGUGAGUGGGUUAGAUUUGGGAGGAUGGUAAUAGGGGAUGGUGUAUGGGUUUGAGAGGGAACCUGUGCAAUCUGUUCAGAUUUAUCAAACGGAAAAACAUUUUCAUGAAAACGAACAUGACGGGAGAUAUACAUGCGAUGAGAUUCAAUAUCAAAACAUCGAUAACCAAGGUGAGAGGGACUGUAGCCAAAAAAUAUACAAGGAGAAGACCGAAAAUCUAAUUUGUGAUUAUUAUAGGGACGCAAGAAAGGAAAACAUAGACAUCCAAAAGUACGUAAAAAUUGAUAAUCAGGAGACCGUUGAAACAAACAAUCAAAAGGAGAUCGAUUAUCAAGAACAGAGUAGGCAUACGAUUAAUGAGAUAAACCGAAGUAUCAAAUGCAUAAUUCCAAAAACGAAAAGGAGCUUUACAUUGACCUAGAAGAGUAAGACCGGUUUCCACAAUAUGCCUAUGACGUCUUUCUACCAUUCCAUUUUGUUCGUGAGUAUGUGGACAUAUCAGACGGUGAUGAAUACCAACAGUUUGGAAGAAAGUGGAGAGUUUGCGAUAUUCACCGCCCCAAUCAGUUUGAACAGAUUUUAUUUUUAAAGAAAACUGACGUUCGACAAGAGUUUGAAAUUGAUGAAAGACAGAAUAAACAUCAGAUUUUGCAACAAGUGGAUAAUACCAUAUAUAUUUUGUGUGCGCAUCAACAAAUAUAACAAAAUAACGAUAACCAUCCGAAGAAAAAAGGGGAGCAGGACCCCACACAUCACUAAAAAUUAAUUCAAGCGGAGCAGAAGUUUUGUGACCAGUAGGUCGUAAAGACAAACGUGACGAUUUUCCUAAGGGACAACUUUGGCAUUGAAAAUUAAGACUUUUGUUGUUACAAAUGAUCUUAUUUUUCGAGACUAAAAAUUUAAAAAUGCGGGAGGUAGGAUGACCUAGGCGACGAUGCCACAAAUCAGCAGAGGCAGAGGUGCAGGAGACCAAUAGGCUUGAGGAGUUGACAGGACGGAAGACCUGAACUUGGACAAAGUAUAGAGACCAUCUUUACUCUGACCUGAGAGAAGGACUUCAUUGGUGUUGAGAUCCUUGACAUAAAAGAAAAGGGUGAAAUUCAAAAUAAACAUUAUUAUCGAGACAAAAUUUCUGAACAGAAAGCAGAGGUUUCGUGAUUGCAGGAACAUGUAGAACAUUAGAUAAAGUGAAUGAACGAUGUGGGUUAUAUAUUUUUGUAUGGCCAAUAUUAGAUAUGGAAAGUCCCUUACCAUCACCAACAUGCAAAUUAUCAUUACCAUUGUAUGGUUCUGAAGCAGUCAAGGUUGCAAGGUCGGGUGUGACGUGUUGGUUUGCACCGGUGUCCGGAAACCAUUCAGCAGCAGAGGCAGAAUUAUGGAAUGCCAAAUUGGCACUGUGUUGCGCCAUGCUGCGUUGCUGAAGUUGGGAACACUGAGGAGCAGUGUGUCCAAAUUGUUGCAUAGCUGGCAGCGGGAAUUUGAUCCUCGGCGCUGCCAAUUUCCUUGCCAGCUGUGUGCCUAUUUUCGUUGCCAUAUGAGGAGCAGAAUUGUAAUUGUUGGAGUUACGAAAAUCAGACCUGUAGGAAUAUUUCGGUUGCCUCGGUGAGAAGGAGAACGCCAGCUGCCAACGCCCCUAUGUCUCCAAACUGAGCAGAAUUGUACGUUGAGACAGUAGUGCUGAAGGUGGCGUGGGCAGCAAUGGUUGGUUGGCGUGGCAGCAGAUCCCAUAGACAAAUGAGAGGUUUUAUGAAUAAAUUCAUGAGUUAGCAGAUGACUAAGCAAAUCUGCAUAUGGUAGAGGAUCCACCCUUGUAAUAAGACUUGUUACUAAGUCCUUAAAUUCUCCGCGAAGGCCACGAAAUAUAUAGAGAUUAAAAUCGGUUAGCGAGAUAGGCCGGCCAGCAGCUGCUAGCUCAUCGAAUAAAGUCUUAGCUUUUUGCAAAAAUUGAGUUACCAAAUCAUCACCUUGUCGAAGUUCUUGAAGGGAACCAUGUAAUUGCAUAAUACGGGAAUUGGAUGUAGAGGCUAGAGCUUGCUCAAGUGUGAGCCAGACAGAACAUGAGGUUGGACAAUCAACAACAAGAUGAAGAACUUCCAUGGACAGCGAAGAGAGCAAGGCACUUAGAAUUAAUUGAUCCUGUUGUUUCCAACGAAGAAAGGAUUGAGAUACCUGAAGAGUAGCACCAUCGGCAGCAGGAAUAUGUGGAGAGGGGCAGGAGUUUGAACCAUCAACAAAGCCGAAAACUCCUUGGCCUAAGAGGUAUGGUUUCAUCUGCAUUCGCCAAUACAAGUAAUUGGUAUUCGUUAAUUUCAUAGAGAUGACCUGAUGGGUGUGUGAGAGGGACACAAUUGCCACGGCAGAGGCUGCUGUAGUUUCAGCAGACGAAGAUGGCAGCAGAGGAGCAUUGUCCGGAUUGAGCAGAGGAGGAUUGUCCGGAUUGAGAAGAGCAUGGCCAAUAUUAGUGUGCUGUGGCCACUGCAUAAUUGAGGCUGAAGAAGAGAGCUGUCCUGCGGCUGAAGAAGAAAAUUGUGGCGAAGGAGGUGGGACAACAGGGGUUGCUGCAGAGGAGGAGAAGGCUGCCGGCUGAGAAGAAUCCAUUGCUGUAGAGAAAGAGAAGGCUGCCGGCUAAGUGUUUUAAUUUAACCUAGCUCUGAUACCAAGUUGAGAAUUACUGAAUGUCUUAGGUUUAGCCUUAGCCAACCUUUCCUAUUUAUAUAUGUAGGGCAGAAUACAGUAGUAACCAUAGGGAUUACAACAUUGGAUUAAUCCUACAUUACAUUAAUAUCCUAUGUAUAGAUAUACAUGAUAUACAUUCUAUAAUACCCUGAUACCAAAGCCAUGCGGACAGGAGUGUUGUGUAAAGAGCCAAACAGAUACAGAAAAGCUAGCUAUUUUUUAGACUAUACUGGCUAAAUGUUAAUGUGAUGAAAAUUCUAGCAAACUUCAAAGCUAAAACCGUGUGAAAUGAAACAUUAAGCGUUGAUUUAGACCCAUUUUCCGGUCGAAAUCAACGCUUAAUGUUUACAGACGUCUGCAACUUUUCUUAGAGUGGCCUAGUGUGGUGUUCCACAAAAGUCUACCAAACAUGUUAGACCAGUUGGCCGAGAGAAGUCAUUAUCUUCCUUUACUGAUACCCAGAAGCAACCUUCCAAGUCAAGAUAAUAAAGCUUGAACUACUGUUUUAUCAUAGUAAAUAUUCUCCCAACAAAUUUCAUCAGGUCUAGUAAAAUCAAAUGCUCAUCAAAACGAACAUCCAAGCUGAAGAAAAGACAUCCAAAUGAAACCAGUUUUUUUUUUUUUUCCUGAUUUACAAGGAAAAAAAAACCUUUUAAGUAUGCAAUUGUAUAUAUAAAAAAUAAAUAGCCAUUAGUCGUUUGAAUAGUUAUUCAUUUUGUGUUUUUGAGCAAACCAAUGAAGAUAUCCGAUAUGGAAAAUCGACCAAGAAAACGAAGAUUCAAGUUAUGGACUGAAGACAAAAUCCUAUUCAAAACAAGAAUGUUUAGAAGUUAACGUUGGUGAAUGUUGCAGUUUAUUUAGAGUUUUAACACAUACAUGGGCAUAAAUAGGGAGUAAGAAUUAUGAUAGUAUUUAUAUUGUAAAAUUCUUAUAUGCUGUAUAAACAGUUUGUAUAGAAUUAAAAUUUAUAGUUUAUGUAGAACUUUAUUUCUAUAAUAUUAUUAAUAGGUCGUCUAGUAUUUGAAAAUAAUGGUUAAAUUUAUAUAAACAAUUUCUUAACAAAAUUUCCGCGAUACUUCGCUUUCUUUUACUUAUCGUAAUUUUCAAUUUCCUUUUUAGUUUUCUUUUCUUUUUAUUGUUUUACUUUAUUUCGUUAUUUAAUUUGUUGAUUCCGUAGCAUUACACACCUUCACCUCUUAAUCUCUUAAACCAAGUUAAUAAUUUCUUUCGAUUUAUGAGGCUAUUAGAGAUUAAAUUUCUAAGCUUAAUGUCUUCUCAUUGGAAAGAAGAAACGAAUAACAAGUAAAAAUAUCGAUGGAAGAAUCCAUCAAUCCAUCAACAACAACAUGCUGUAAUUAAUGUUUCCGUAAUAAUUAUCCAAACCAGUUGACACAUUGAAUUUGGAGGAGACAGAAACAUGUUCUUUACACUACUGCUUCCGUAACUUCUCCUCCCAUGAAAAACAACACAUGAUUUUUUUUGUUAGAACUACAAGAUACAGAAAUUUAAAAGUUUUCCUGCCUACAAACUUAUGCUGAAGGUGAAGCUGGACGUGGAGGAACAGAUACAUCGGUAAUUCCUUCUAACAUCAACACAACAGACUUCAUAGAAGGACGGAUACCUGGUUCAUCUUGAAUACACCAAAUGCCCACCAUAACCAUUUUCUCCAAAUUCUGCAAGUCUACAUCUUCACCAAGAUCUAGCUUGUCCAAUUCUCUUUCAACCAAAAGCUCGUAUGCCCAAUUAGAAAGUUGAAUUUCCUCUGCUCUUGAUACAUUAGUUUCUAUAUUUCUCCUGCAGAAAACAAUUUCCAAGAGCAUAACUCCGUAACUGUAAACAUCUGCCUUGACUGAUAUUGGAGUAUUCUUAUGCCAUUCAGGAGCCAAGUAACCUCGUGUCCCUCUGACUAUCGUAAAGGUUCUUGUUUGAUCAGGCAGUAGCAAUUUUGCUAGCCCGAAAUCAGAGAUCUUAGCAUUCCAAAAAUCAUCCAUUAGAAUGUUUUGAGGCUUUAUAUCGCAAUGGAUGAUUGGUGCUUCACACUCUUCGUGUAGAUAUAGGAUCCCUCUAGCAAUAUCUAAAGCAAUUUCACUCUGUGACUCCAAUCUGGAUCCUUUCAGUUCGGAAGAGAAGAUCUGCAAGGGAACCGUUGCUCAUGUAUUCGUAUACUAGGAGUCUCUGGGAGUCCUCAGUACAGUAACCAAGUAGCCGAACCAAGUUCUUAUGAUGAGUUUUUCCAAUCGAACGCAUCUCUGUGAGGAACUCCCUUUCACCUUCACUGACCAACUUUUCUAGCCUCUUCACUGCAAUAACUUUUUUACCUUUGUAUAAUGUCCCUUUGUAAACUGCUCCAAAAGAUCCUUUUCCCAACUCUUCCCUGAAACCCUUGGUUGCAUUUUUAAGCUCACGAUAUGAAAAUGCUCUCAGAGUGAGCUCAUGGGCCAAGCCAAGAUUUCCGCUCCCAACCGCAUUCUGGCCUUAACAACUCUUGACUUAGAGAUGAAAAAAACAGAAACUGCAAUGGCAAUUGAAGAGCAUGUGAUGAAUGCUACGCUCAUAACAAAAUGAGCAUCACUGUCUUCUUGCUUGUCUUAUGGACCACUGGAGGCUUCGUUCAGUGGCAAUGGAUCGGUUGCGGCUUUCGACACUCUUCAAACCCACCUUGAAGAAAACCUUUGAUGAGUCACCUUCAAUCUCUUAGCAUAUUUCACUGGGAACUUCACUUUCUUGCAGUCCCCAGAUUCGUACAGCGCACCAGCACAGUUACAGUCCUGCAAACAGGACUUUCUGCAAUCUUCUUCUGACAUGGAGUUUUUAAAAUAAGGAAAGUCAUCCCAAGUCAUUUUCUCCAUAUCAGUAAUGCUAUACGAGGAUGUUUCCUCUGCAACUUUGCAUAAGUCUUCAGUGUAGUUCCUCUUACACCCAUUAUAUCUCUGGUUGGGAUUGACAAAAGUGCCAGGAAGACAGCUGCAGUAAGGUUGAUUAUCGUUCAUGGUGCAGUAGCUGUUGAGACCGCAGAAAGACUUCACUUCGCACUGACUUUUUGGUGCAUAAUGCAUAAGAGAUGUAGUGUAGGCACCAUUGCUGUCGAAGUUAUGAGAAUACAAUCGAAAAAUUCCAUCGUACUCCAAUGUUGCACGGUAGAUAGUUGAGCUGUUUUCCGAUUCUGAAUCAGAGGAAAACACAGGUGUGCCACUGGCCAAGGUGUUGUUAAGGAUUAGCAGUUGCCCGGUAUAAUUCAAGUACAGAUGGGUACCGGAAGCAAAAGUGGCAGUGUUCCAAUAAGCAUCUACUGAAGUGUCUAUAGUGUCUAUGGGAUACAAAACAAGAUUCCCAUCAGAUUGCAUUUUAAGAUGAAACCUUCCUGUUGAAAAAUUGGUUGUAGAUGCACUGGAAAGCAGUUCACCCCCUGCAUAUAGAUUCUGGCCUCCUAAUAUUGUAUCUGUAGGAAAUUUGAAACUCUCCCAAAUGGCAUCAGAAUGUUCAUUGUAGAGCACUAGAUUUCCAGAAUCAUGCAUGCGAGCGUUUGAAGCUGACUUCUCUAUCUUAGCAAUGAGUUUCUCUUCACCGGCCUCAUUGUUGGCAGAAUAAGUUCUUAAAAGAAGCUUACCGUUUACGGUCAACUCCAACGUAGCAUUUGAGGCACAGGAGGGUCAUCUCGGUAUGCUGUCCAGGUGAUUAUAUCAGCUGGCUUACACACCAACCAAAUUCCCACUAUAAAGCCACUGCCCUGUGGGUAGAACCCAAAGGCAAAUGUGCCAGAAGGGGAGCGCCAUGAAGUUGGUUGGACGUUGGAGGAGAUUGAAGAACCUAAU